rnacentral:lncRNA from 1 species
CUUGACCUUGACAUAUAAAAAGAGCCUCUACCCGUUAUUCUAUGAGCGUCCAUUAGUGUACUUGGUUAUCAUACACAAUUACCCGCUUUCUCGACAUAUACAUUAUCAUAAGUUAAUCUAUGCAAACCCUAGCUAGUGCCCUUUGUUAAGUACCUUGACCCCUAAGAAACCCGAACAGUCGUGUCUCACAUUUUCUUGAAACCAACCAUUCCACCAAUUUAAGCACGUCUCAGUUGCAUUAUCUAGAGUUCCCCAACUCUAAAUUUCAUUAGCGCAUCACCGCAUUGUCAAGUUGCUUAUGCGUUAAGUAACAUAUUGAGCGCUAUAAAAAAUGAGGAAUGAAAGUGUUAAUUAUUCUCUCACGCACCAAAUAAAUAAAGAUUUAUUAAAACAAAUAGUAAUAUAUUUGUCUCUAGUAAUAAAAGGAAAAUUCAAAUGUCAUGAGGACAAUUACAUUUAAAUUUCUUUAUGUAAAUAAGAAGGUCACAACUAUGAGAAAUUUGGGUUUCAUUUUGUCUAUGUAUUAUUAUUCACCCAUUCCCAAAAAUAAAAAGAGUAGUGCUAAAUGUCGGGAAGGCUAAGAGAAACGGCAGCUUGUGUUGCCGUUUCGCGCGUGUUCUCUUGGCUCCACCCCCCACGUUACUUUCUCUUUUCUUUUUAACUUAACGUUUGCUGCAGUCAACUCAUCCUCCAACACCAGAAACUCUCGUAUCUUCUCCCUCCCCUCAAUUUCAUCAGCAUCAUCGGCACUCUCUCUCGUCAACGGCAUCAUUACCGACAGCCACCUCUUUCUCUUCAGCUCGUCACGAUAGACACCACCAAUCUGGUUCGUCACUUCAUCCGGAUCUCUCCAUUAUUCCAAGUGUGUUUCCCCUUUUUUUUUUGUUCUGAAAAACCCAAAAAAAUAAACAACAACACCUAUAUUGAUUUUGAUUUUUUUUAUUCCAAGUCAAAGGGGUGCUUGGCUUUUAAUUAUAUAAGAUAGAAGAUGAAACCAAAUUUUGAUGUUGAUCAAGAAGAAGAAACAAAAUUGACAGAAGGAAGAAGAAGAUAAUUGUGAUGAUGAUGUUGUUGAUGAAGAAGAUGAAAUUGACGAUGGAUAGAAGCAACGAAUAAAUUGCAUAAGAGAGAGAAAGAAAAAAGAGAAGAAGAAGAAGAUAAAAGAAGAAAAAAAACAGAAAAGAGCUAAAAUAAUAUAAAAAAACAAAAGAGGAAAUGCUUAAAAUAAAGAAGAGGUGGGGCCAAGAGAACACGCGUGAAACGACAGUACAAACUAUCAUUUCUCUCAGGGUUCUCUCAACCUUCCCGACGUUAAGCAUUUUCCAAAUAAAAAUAGGGACAAACUUUCGACUUGUUCAACACGCCUCUGCCGCAAAAAGACAGAUUGCCCAGGCACAUUCUGUUCUUUAUCUACUGAUGGCUCGUUAUCUUCCAUAAAGAAACACCGAGUCAAAUAAAUUCUUUUUAUCCCAAGCAGAUUUCUGAUAAAAAGAAUAAAGCCUCAAGACUCAAAUUUGAAUGGCUAGCCAAAUAAAGCCUUGGGAAUAAAAAAAUUAAUUUGUUAUUAGCGAGAAUCAGCAGAAUGACAAUAUCACAUAGAUUUCUGAUAAGUUUUUAAUAUCACAACAAUUAACACUAUUAAAUGUUAAAUGUGAUAUUUUAAAAAUAAAUUUUCUAGUUUCAAUUUGUAGAGGCUUUGAUUAAUGAUCAAUUUCUAUAUGGAAUGCAUUUCUAUUUAUUUAUUUAUUGUCACUAUCACUAAAAAAAAUUUCAUAAUCCCAAAGUGGUAAAAAUAAAUUCGAAGAGUAACCAAAAUGUCAUUCCUCCAAUGUAUUAUUUACGAUUCUAAUUCUUUGUACCAGUAUGUAUGUAUGUGGCGGCUUAACUUUCAUUUAAAGGGCGACAUUAAUAUCAUCACAACUGCUCAGUCCAGCCUUGAACUCGUUCAUAAGGAUUAGGACUCUGUGUUCCAUAGCCUUCACACGCCCUUGAACUGUUCUGCCUUUUUCACGAGCAAUUCCGCCUUCACCGAUUUGGAAAUUCUUGGUACAGGUACAUAACCGUGGUCUUGGCCUUGGGCCUGUGGACUUAGGUAACUCUCAAAGCUUAAGCUAACCGUAGCCCACUAACUUCGUUGAAGCCCAGUCGUAAAAGAUGAAAAAUAAUAAAAGGAUUGGGACUAUUGCCACCCCUCUUAUAAAAUUCCUUCUUUCUGAAAAAUACCUACUUAAAAAAAUUAAAAUAACACAACUACUAAUAAUACCCACACGUUAAAUCCAUAAAUGAUCUUAUAUACUUUCUUCUCGAUGAAGAUAUGCAAUAGUUUGUAGAUGGAAAACAUAUGAAGACUUUUAAAGUCCCUAGUUAAGGAACCUUUGUGAAGAUAUUUUUUGUAAUGGAAGAUAAGUUAAACCUUUCUUUUUUUCUUGAAUACUGAUACGUCUAAUACAAUUACAAGUCUAUUACAAAUACCUUAUAUACCAAGUCUAACUUAUAUGGCGAAUUAGGGUCUUCUUCUAUUUUUUUUUUCUCCUAUUCUCUCCGCAACUUUUAAAUCUGGUGAAAAAAGCUAAUAUAAUUAUAAAUAAAGUGAAAACACUUAAUUUUAUUGACAACAUUAAAAUUUAAGAUUUAAUCUCGAUCACUUAUUUCACUAAAAAAGAGAAAACACAAAGAGAGAAUUCUUAAAUAUAUGUAAUACCGUCCAAAUUUAUAGCAUUACAUAUAUUAGAGGAAUAUUUAUUCAACUAAAAAAGAUACUUACCUCUACCUAAUUUUGUAAGAGUGAGAGAAAUUUUAAGUCUUGGACUCGAAUCCUAUUGAGGGUGGGGGGCUUGCUAUUCGGCCACAGCCAUUUGCUUUCCCAUCACCUGAGAUGAAUUAAAGCUUUAUGAAUAAUUAUCGGACGUCUUCGAAGAGACAGCUUAUGAAAAUUAAAGGUUAAGAGAAACAUAUUGCAUAUUCAAAAAGCAUUUUGCUUUUCGGCAGAUUGAAUAAACUCUCCCUAAAGAGGUCCCCAUCAGCCUUCAAUGUGGCCAACGGUUGGCCAAAACGUGUCCGAUCAAAUCCAUUUACUUGAUUGAUGAAACAAACACAUCGUCCUAUUAGCAUGUGAAACGGUAACAUCAAAGAUCUAGAUUCAAGAGGUCAAAGGGAAAACUGUUCUGCCCACGCAAGCCUUUAUGAGCCGCCGAAAAAUUGUCCUGAAGGAUGCUUGAAUCCUUGGGAGAUUGAACUUACGGGAUCCCGUAUCUUACGUGUGUAUGUAAAAUAUAUUCAUUUCACAUGAAUAAUCUAAAUUUAUAGAUGAUAUAUAACUCUGUUCCUUAUAAAAAAAGAAUACUAUAUUUUAUGGCUUUUAGCUUUAUAAAAGGUUUGAAUCUACUUUGCAAUGAAAUUAUUUCAAUAAAAAUAUUUUUUAUUUUAUAUUAAAUAAAGAUUAUAUUGAAUUUCAACUAAUCUAGAUUUGAGUUAGGUAGAAUAGAACCAUUAGAACUGUAAAAUUCUCCUAAUUAAUAUCGAUUAAUUCAGAUUUGAGUCAGGUAGGACCAUUAGGGCGGCAAAACCCUCCUAUAACUGCAUUCUCAAGACUCGAACCGAGAAUCUUUGUUAAAUUAGAACAACUUCAUACCAGUUGAUCUUCGCGCUUAUUGGUAAAACAUUUUUUCUUUUUUUUAACAAUUAGAUGGAGUUUCUCAUUUUCUAUUAAAUGUGAGUUAUAAUGUUAAAGUCUUAAAGAACAUAUUUUCAUUUUUCAUAUCCUAGACAAUUGGUCAAGUCAAGGCUUUAUUUAGUCAUGUGAAUAAUGAUUGCGAGGAACCUGAAGAAGAUGCGCACUAAACUCCUAUAAUGGAAUUAUAGAAUUUUGACUGGACUCAUAUAAUUAUCCUACAAUUAGCCAUAUGUAAUCUUUAAUCUUUUGUCUUAUAUUUAUUUUAAUACUGGAAAAUUUAGUGAUUAUAUACAUGUACAUAUACAUAUAAUUAGGAAUAACUUAUGUUUGUUACAAAGUCCCCUGACCCAUCAAAUUAAACCGAAAUUAAUAUUUUAGUGCUUAGCAUAUAUAAGUGUCAACAAAAUAUUUGUCUAUGGAUUAUUUGAUUAUAAAAAAAUUUAGGGAAAUUUACAACUGUCCACCUGUUUGUUUUGCCUUUUUCAAAAAUACACAAACACUUUUUUUUUUCAACGCGCCACCUGAAGUUUGCUUUUUGUUGCAUUCGUCCACGUGCGUCUAAUUUCCGUUAGCGAAUUUAACGAAAUGACCUUUUUACCCCUCAAAAUUACAAUUUAACCCAAAAUAAAUAGAAAUUGGAGAUGGAUUUAAUUUUUUUCAAAGGUGGAUGCUAGAAAUUGAAAAAAUAAAUUCAAAUUUUCUAAAUUUAGCAAGCAACAAACACUAUUUUCCUCCAAAAAAAUAAGUACAAAUUUUCUAAAUUUAGUAACAAACAUUAUUUAAUUUAUUUUUUCAAUUUCUAGCAUCCACCUUUGAAAAAAAUUAAAUCCAUCCAAUUUAUCUCCAAUUCCCAUUUAUUUUGGGUUAAAUUGUAAUUUUGAGGGGUAAAAAGGUCAUUUCGUUAACAUUCCGUUAAAUCCACUAACGGGAAUUAGACGGAAGUGGACGAAUGCAACAAAAAGCAAACUUCAGGUGGCGCACUGAAAAAAAAAAGUGUUUGUAUAUUUUUGAAAAAGGCAAAACAAACAGGUGGACAAUUGUAAAUUUUCCAAAAAUUUAAUUUGAAAAAGGCAAAACAAACGUGGACGAUUGUAAAUUUCUCAAAAAUUUAAUUAACUCAUAAAAGAGUAAUUCAUGUAGAUUACAUUACAACUUCAGUAAGAUUGAAUCUCAAAUUAAUAUUGCCAAAAAAAAUUAUUGUGACAUAUUGUAUUUUAUUAUACAAGUCCAAUCGCAUCCAAGCUAUCAAACAACAAAUUGCUGCAGUAACUGUCCCUCUCAUCUUCAGUGCACCCAUUGACGUAGUUUGUGGACGAUGAAUUCAAUGGAGUCGAGCUAGAUGAAGGCGUUGCUAGAACUGAUCCAAAUCUCAUGUUCGCGAUACUGCCACCAUGCAUAUUGUUGUUAAAAUAUGCUUGGUUUUGGUUUAAUGAUGGUUCAACAAUCCUCGAUUGAUUUUCAGUUUCUGGGCCUCCGUAGUUUGACGCUGGAUUAGAUCCUUUUGACAUGCUUUGAGGCUCUACAUUUUCUUGACACAAGUUUGUUAGAAUAUAUUGCCAGCUAAAGUUUGUGGGAUUGGAAGAAAGUUGCUCCAAAAUGGCUUGUGGAGUCUGUGUUUCAUUUACGUAUGGAGGAUUUGAAUCAACAGGUGUCUUUAAGCAAGCUUGAUUAAUUGGGUAUUGGAGAGCUUGAUGAUUUUGUUGUUGAAAGUUUUGAGGAGUAAAUUGUGGAGUUGUGUUUUGGCAAGAUAAGAGAGUGGUGGCUAAAUUCAAUAGAUCAGGAUUCAAUAACCCGAGACUCAAUAGAUUUGAAGCAUUAAGUUGAGUGGAGUUGCAAAGAGAUGAGCUAAGAAUGGAUGAGAGUUCAAGAAGAUCAAGGCGAGGGCUAUGAGUCACAGGAUCUAUCCCCAUUCUUAAUAGUUUCUUCUUGAUGUGUGUGUUCCAAUAGUUCUUGAUUUCGUUAUCAGUUCUUCCCGGCAAGCGAGAAGCAAUUGCUGACCACCUGUAGUAGAACGAUGUAAAUGAUGAUGAGAAAAUUAGACAAUAAAUAUAAAAAAAAAAUAAAAAAAAUGACUUGCAUAUGCAUAAGCCUAGCUAGAUAUGAGAGUUAAAAAACUCUAACUACAAGUCUAAGAAGUAGGUAAUAUAUUUAUUGAAAAGUCUACUAACUUAACUCAUACUCAAAAGUUAGCUUAUGAACUAAGAGGCACCAAAUUUAUAUAUUUAUUUCAAGAUUUAUUCUUAUAUGAUGUAAGAUUACUUCCUUCACAAUAUUUACUAGAAUAUUAAGUAAUUUUAGAGCAAAGAUUCUUUAAAAAGGACCAAAAUUAGUUCUAAGAUGGAAGUGUACUCACUUGUUUCCCAAAACUUUGUGUAAUUGAAUUAUGGCCUCUUCUUCUUCAAGAGAGAACUUUCCUCUCUUGAUGUCAGGUCUCAAGUAGUUUGUCCAGCGAAGCCUGCAACUCUUUCCACACCUCUUUAGCCCUGCAUAAAAUAGCCAUUAAUUAAUAUGACCAAUAUAAAAUAGCCCUGCAUAAAAGCUAACUUGGUACCUCUUAAUUAACAAGCACCGCUUAACAAAAAUGACAUUAAUAUAUUUAUCCAUGCAAACCUGCAUUCUUGGGAAGGGUUCUCCAUCUUCCAUGACCAUGUUUCUGAAUAUAAUCAACAAGCUUCUGAUCUUCCUCAGCAGUCCAUGGACCUUUCUUCAGUCCAUUUUUGUCGGAGCUUGGUGGCCUUCCCAUUUCAAUUACUCGACAAGCUUAAUUUCUUAGAAAUUCUUUUUUUUUUUUUUGGGUGUAAUUUCUUUGAAAUUCUAAUAACACAAGAAAGUGUUUUGUGUGUUUAAUUUGAGUUAGAGAACUGAAGAAACAAAAUUGAAGUCUUUGGAGCAGAGAGCGAAAUGUUGGGCGAGCUUAAACAUAUAUAUAGAAAAACAAGCAAUAAGCUAAGAAAAUUGCUGAAGUCAAUGGGAUUCGGUACCGCCCAUUAAUAUACGUGUCUUCUUUUGAAGGAAAACGCGCUCUCAUACACACAAAACGACACUCUCUUUCAACCUUGUGGAUGUAAAAGUAAGACUUCCUUUUCUGAAUUCUCUAUUGAACUUGAUCACGUAAGCAUGCAACAUGCAAAUUUUAAUUACUUACGUUAUGGGAAAUUUAAACCCGGUUAAAAAUAAUAAUAAUAAAAAAGAGUAAAAAAUGGGUAUUAUGGUGAUUCAGCUUGCUUUUAUGCUUUCUCUUCAUUGUUGAUUAGAUAAAGAGUUAUGGAGCCGAUGACGUGCCAAAGAGAGAUAGGUAGCCACCAUACAAGUGCUGAUGGCUUUAUCUUUUUUUUUUUCUUUUUUUUUUUUAAUAGUUUUUGGUGUGUUGUCUCAAAUCGUAAAACAGGCUGACACGUACAAAUCGUUUUCCCGUUCGCAGAACAUUCUUACUUUUCAAAAACGUAUUAGCUGUCACCAAUUGAUUGCCGCCAGGUAAACCGACGAUUUGGGUCGGAAGGGACCCACCUAAUUGCAUGGCUCGAUCCGGGGGACAGAAGUCACAGAACAAAGCCGAUGGGCUUAUUUAAGCUCCAUGUCCAUAUGCAGUCGGCUGCAGAUCGGCUAGCCAAAUAUUAAGUUAAGCUUUGUUUAUAAUUAGAUUAAUUAAUAAAUAAGCAAUUCAACUUUGACUCUGAAUUUCGCAAUGAAUGAACUUUGAAAUGAUAAUUUUAUCCACGCAGAAAUAGAGCAAAGGUUUGUGAAUUGAUUUAAAGUGGCUUUAAUAGAAAAAGCUCUUUCGAUACCUAAUUAUUGUACAUUUGAGAUUCCAAAUACCAAUUUUACUUGUAUCAUUGCUAGGAACCUAAAAUUUGACUUUUAACUAAUAAUUUAUUAGUUUAUUUGUAAUUGAUAAAUUACAAAAUCUUGAAAUUGAGAAUCAAAUAUUAAGAUUUCUAACAUGACUCGUAAUUAUAACUAAUGAUGAGCGACAUUAUAAGCUCACAUGCCCCAAUGGUUUAGCACCGAGUGAGUUUCAAAGAGUUUUAUUUGAAAAACCACCCGUAUUCGAACCCUAAGAAAAAUAGGAAUUAAAAAUUCAAUUUAGGCUUUGGUUUUUUUAACUUUUUAAAAAACAAAAAUAAAAAUAUAUGUAUUAUAAGCUCAUAGGUGUACUACUUUAAAUUUUAAACACGUGAUCGAUUAUGGGAUUUUUUUCAUUCAACUCAACAGCUAGACAUAGCAGUGACAUAUUGCAAAGAAAAACUGUCUCCCCUACGUGUAGUUUGUAACAGUGAAUUGCUAUAGUCUUCCCAAGGUUGAGUCCAAUCUCUUGAUCAAAUCACAAUUUAAUUCUUGAAAGGGAAAUAUUACAGGUGCUUGAAUACUAAAGUUAGGAAGCUUUCAUUUUCUUUCUUAAUUUAUUUGGAAUUGGCACCAAUUUGAGAUAGAGGAUCUCUUUGUGGGAUGGAAAAUUUUGUAUGAAUGGACAUGAAAUCUAUAUGAAAGCAGUGGUCAAACUAAUGAAUGCGAACAUAUUAAUUAAAACAAUAUUUCUUCAACCUUUGCCUAGCUAGCUUGCUGUUAAAAUUAUUAGAAAUUAUAUCAAUAGUAACAUUAAUAUCAGAAAGGGUCGAACUAUAUUUAUUGUCCUACAACAUUGAACGAAAAAAUAAAUAAUAGCGGGCCACUUGGUACACUUGAUGGUAAGCUAGUCUAUUCCUAGACUCAUUCUAGGAGAUAUAUAUAAAAAUCAAAGGUUUGGUUUACAUUUAAAUCUAUCGUAUCAAUUUUUGUUUAAAAAAAAAUGUUACUAAAAUUUUGAAAAUAAAAUAAAACGGACAGCUACAUAUGAAAAACAAAUUAAACUAGAAUAAUCAUUUGGACUUGUUCCAUACAAUCUGACUUGCAUGAUUGCAUUUCCAGUAAAAUCAUAUCAUUUGGAAAGAAAAAUGUUAGAAAUCAUCAUAUAUAUCAUUUCAGUAAUCUAAAGUACAAAGCGAAUAGCCUAAAUUAGCCAACUUAUCAGCAUAUACUGUAUAGUUUCUUAUCUGAAUACUUGUGUAACUUGCAUGAUUCUAAAAUCCAUAAGAGUCAAUAUAAUGUAUAGUUUCUUGCCCGAACACUUCUGCAGCUUGCACGAUUAUAAAAUCCAUAAGAGUCACACAAUUAUUACAACGAGUAAGAAAUUUUUAUUUUAUCGAUAUAAUGCUGAAAACAUUAGAUGAGAAAUUAUCAUUGUUAACCAACAAGCGCGUAGAUCAAUUGACAUAGGGUUGUUCUACCAUAACCAAAGUCUUCGGUUCGAGACUUGAGAAUACAGCUGCGUUAAAUACUAGUUGGGAGAGUUUUACCACUCUAGUGGUCCUAUCCGGCUCGAAUAUGAAUUAUUCGGGGUCCAAUAUUAAUUUUUGGAUACCAGAUAGUUUAAUAUACCCAAAAAAAAAGAAAUUAUCAUUGUUAUUACUAUUUUUUUAUCAGAGAUGAGAAAUUAAUUAACUUGUCAAUUGAUAGUAAUCAAUUUAAAGUCUAUUUCAUAUGCAGAUAUAGAAUCUAAACUCUAAAAAUUGGAAGCAUAUGGGAGUGUUGCUAGUUCAGUGAAUGCAGACUAGCUUAGACCAAGACUUUCCUCUCGUUAAUUUAAUGUCCACUUCUGCCCCACUGUUUCAUGGUCAAAAGAAGUAUAACGUUUGUUCUUUUUCCUAACUUUAUUCAUUUGUUGAUUAUAAGCUGUCAUGAUGCUCUAAACAAUCUGUGUGGAUAGGGAUCAACGUGCUUUAUUUUAUAUAAUCAAUGGGGCUUUUUUUUUCUUUUUUUUCUUUUUUUUAGGGGAGAGGGGAAAAACAAAACUCUGUAAUCGAGAGUAGCUAGAGGCCCUCAAACCAUUCAAGUUUUCCUAUCGAAUAAAAAUAACUAUACAAUUUCAUGCAUUUGAUUUCAAAAAUAAUUUACCAGAGAAAUAAGUAACAUGUCAAUCACCAGCUGAAAUGACUUGGUUCAUCAGGCUAUGAGUUACAUCAAACGCGACUCAACAAGAGUCUUGUUUUCAACUCGAAGAUUGAAGAAGGUUUGUUUCAUUUGAACAUAUCUUGUGAACACCAUCACUUCAAUCUCAUGUAUGAAGCACGAACCGAUACAUUGUUUUGUUAGCUCGUGCUUGGCCCCCCCACCCACUUUCUCUUGGAUAUCAAAUGCUGCGCAGGAAAUAUUUUCACUGUUCGUGACUUGGCUUGUCAACAAAAGUUUGGGAAAAUUUUGAAACAUGGCAUUCUAAUAACGCUCAGUGAUUGAAUGACUCAGCACCACAGCUCAUCAGCCAAUUAAUCAUGUUAAAAUCAUAUGGUGCCAAUUAAUUCUUAUUCAAACUAGGAACAUGCGCCAUCCAUUUUGAAAUUCUAUUCCUCUUAAUUUGCUCCUUAAGAUUUGCAAAUCUCAUCAAAUGGAUUCAGCAGUUCAUAGAUCUAAUAAUUUCAAGAUCCAACUUACAUGAUUUGCUCAUUCUAGUUAAUUCAGCAGGAAAGUUAAAUUUACUCAUCAAGUCAUCGUUGGGAAUCCAAUCAAUUAGUUGUUACAUAUAAUUCGUAUUGUGUAAAGGCCCUCGGUCUUGUUUGAUUUUAAUCUUGGUCAGCAAUUUCAUCAAAUGAGCACGUGAAACGAAACAUGUGGUACGUACAUAUAAUGGCACCAAGGCAUGAUGAUACCUUGGAAAUGAUUUCAACUGCUAUAUAAUGGAAAUGAUCAAAUAUAUUUAGGACAAGUUUGGUAAUGUUAUAUCCUUUAAAUAAUUAUCAUUAGUUGUGCUGUAAAAAUAAUUAAAUAUGAAGAGAAUUAAUAAAAUAUUUGGUAAAUUUUAAUUUAAAUUAUUUUUAAAAAUAUUGUGAAUUUUAAAAACACUUUCAUGUGUUUGGUAAAUCUCACUUUUAAAAUGUCUAGGAAUGCAAAUGAUUGAAAUAGACAUAAAAUUGAGUAAAAUUAAUAUGUAUAUAUAUGUAUAUGUAAAUGUACAUAUGUACAUAUAAUAUUUUUAUGCUUAUAUAAAACACUUGAUAAUUAACAUGAAUAUCUUUAUUUUAUCAAUUGUAUUUUUUUAUUUUGUUACCUCAAUAUAAUAGGUAAUAAUAAUAAUCUCUUUAAAUUCAAUGAUUUUAUCUCUUAAUUAAAUAAAAAUAAUUAUAAUUUUUUUAUAAUAUAUAUUAGGACAUAUAUGAAAUUGUAUUAAGUAUAUACUUAUUCUCAAAAUCGGAUUUUAAAAGCUACUACUUUCCUACUUUUUGGAAUUUGCUAUAGAAUGAGAUGAUUUUAUCAAAAAUAAUUUUUAAAAAAAGUUCAAAUACUAAAAUUAACUUUUCACUUUUCAAAAUUACUUUUAAAUCUCUUAAAAGCAAUUUCAAACUUCCAUUAGGUGUAUACCAUUAUCACCGGCAGAUUAAGCUGCUUUUAGUUGAUAAAAUUUGGGUUGCAUAUAAAAAAUAAAAUUUCAGAUACAUAAUCUUAUGUUGACUAAGAAUAAUUUUUAGACUAAAUAUAUGAGUUUGGACAAUUUUCCACUUAUGAGCUAGUAUUUGAAGUUAAGAUGAGGUGAUUAUUAUCCAACACUGGUAUCAAAAUGCUUUGGCUUUCACUAAUAUUUUCAGUUUUUCACCCCAAAUGUAACAUCCUAAUAGGAGAAAGAGGUUAUCUUUCCUCAAGUUCCCAAACGUAUUUUUUCUUUUUUUCUUUUUCUAAUGAUGAGUUAUUAUUUUAGAGUUAGGCCAUGUUUAGUAUUGAGGUGACGUAAUUUUUAAGUUACAACUACUGUGAAAAAAAUUAUAAUUAUAAAACAAAAUUAAUAAUAUGUAGUAAAUCUAAAUUUUAAAUAAUAAUUUUAACAAAAUUAUUAAAGAUAUAAUAAAUUUUCUAUUAUACAAGUGAAAAAUCAUAUCAACAUAUUUUUUAAGAUAUAAUAAAUAAUAUUUAUCAAACACUUUAAUGCUAUUUUUUUAAACUACUACUGCCCAAAUUCAAUUCCAAAUGCACCCUUAAUGUAACCAGUUUCCACAAAGGAUUAUUAAAAAAAAAAAAAAGUCCUUGAGUUGUAUGUUGGCCGGUACAUUGUUGGCUAAUCGGCUUGAGUCUGGAUACGUAUUAUAUAUGUUAUCUAAAUAAUAAUUGUCAAUAUUCACUUAGUUUAACAAUAAUUAAAAAGAAAAUCCCUAUCAGAUAAAGCCUGUAUUAAAUAAUUACCAUAAAUGGUCAAACAUUUAUUUAAUUCAUCAACUAAGAUAUGCACUACCCCUGCGUUUUUCUUUGAUUGAUAGUGAUUUUAACAACCGCAUGAAGUUUUCCCAAGAAAUUAAGAAGCACACCCCACCUAUGCAAUGACAAUUCCGGCCCUGUAAAAUUAUCUUAAUUCUCAACUCUCGACCUCAUUGGUGAAAAGUUUCAACAUUCUAUAUCAGAAAUCCUAAAUUAUUUGUGGCCCUAUUAAUUAUAUUGAUACAAUUUUGUCAUGGAGAUUAAGAAGGUUGAAAUUUUGGACCAAUAGAAGAUUGAGACUUGACAAUCAAUACAAUUAUGUAUACAGUAAAAUCAUUUGAUUGAAUUUUGGAGGUAGCCCUUUUAUUAUACCACUAAUAUAUUAUAUGAUUUAGAGAUACUAUUAUUUUAAUACUUAAUUUUUUUUAUCAAUCAUUUUAUCAUAAAAGUUUUUUGACAAUUAUUUUCUCCCACUUAAUGUUUCAGUUUUUAUCAUUUUACCACCAAAUCGUUUACUCUAUUAAUCAAUUGUUGAUAUCAAAAGGGUGUUUUAGAAAUUUUAGUAUAUUCAAUAUUUUAAGAAUUUCAUAAGCUAUCAUAUUUAAGAUAUUAUCAAUUAAUUGUUUUAUAUAUAUAAUAAAGGAAAUUAUCCACCGUCCACAUAUUUGUUUUGCCUUUUUAAAAAAUACACAAAUAUUUUUUUCUUUUUCAGCGUGCCACCUGAAGUUUGCCUUUUAUUGCACUCGUUCACUUUCGUCUGAUCUCCGUUGGUGGAUUUAACAAAAUAUUAAUGAAAUGACCUUUUUACCCCUCAAAGGAAAAUUACAAUUUAACCCAAAAUAAAUGGAAAUUGGAGAUAAGUUGGUUGGAUUUAAGUUUUUUCAAGCAAUAGAGUUAAAAGCAAAGGUGAAUGCUAGAAAUUGGAGGAAAAUAGUGUUUGUUACUUGCUAGAUUUAGAAAUUUUGUAUUUAUUUAAACAACAUCAAUUUUCUUUUUUCUUUUUUUCAAAUCAUGUUAAAUGAAGUCGUUUUACUCUUUUUUUAAAAAAAUUAGCAUAAUACAACAUAAUUUUAAGUAUUCAAAUAAAAUGCCCAUUUUACUCCUCUGACAUCAGCAACGUUCUAACUGCGGUUAGACGGAAGUGGACAAGUGUAAUAAAAUGCAAACUUCAGGUGGCACGCUGAAAAAGAAAAAAUUGUUUGUGUAUUUUUGAAAAAGGCAAAACAAAUAGGUAGACGGUGGAUAAUUUCUCAUAAAUAAUCAAUUGAUGAAAGUAUUAUUUCUUGGUAUAUAAUUAACUUUGUUUUUUUUUUUUUUCGAUUUAGAGGGUCAAAUUACACAUACAUAGUUUAGGGCUAAAAUAGAUUUUUACUAUAAUUUUGAUUAAAAAUUCUGUUAGCUUUAAAGGUUUAGUGAUAAAAUUAUAAAGACUAAAACAAUAAAUGGAAAAAAGUAAUUAUUAGAAAAAUUUAGUGGUAAAGUAAUAUAUCAGAAAAUACUUGAUGGUAAAAUGAUAAUAUACAAUUCAUUCCAAGACCUUGUUUUAUUAAGUCAUAUAAUAAUAUAACUUACAUCCACUAAGAGUUGUUCUGAUCAAUAACCUAAGAGAAGUUGUUAGAAUGUUCAUGAUAAACGUGCAACUCGCCAUCAUGAAUAUGUCAUGUAAGGUAAUUGUGUUGCAUGGAGAAUAUUUUACAGGGAAUACUUGUUAUAGUUUUAUUACAUUCUUUUAAAGCAUUGGCCAAUUAUAUAUUAUACUCGUUAUAUUUAUAUAGAGCAUGUAAUUUAAUUAAUAAUUGAACGUUAGUUCAUAAUUAACCCAGGUCAAUAGCCACAUCAUUGCCUGCUGGAUCAUCAUCUCGCUCUAUUUCAAGAUUACAUUGCGGCGACUAGAAUUUCCAAGUUUCUAGACCAUCUAUAUAAAAUUAUCAUGAGAAAGACUUUAUGUUAUAAAUUUCAAUUACCCAUUUAGCUUUAAUACAUAUCACAACGAAUUUUAAUAAACUACUGGAGUCAUAACCUCAGCAUUGAUCUUAUCUGUUUUUGGUUGCGCAGAAUUUAUCAUGUCCUUUAAAUCUUUGAAGGCUCAGUAUUAAUCAUAUACUCAUUAUAGUAUACGAUGGUCGUUGAUAACCAUAUAUAAAUUAAACUAUAGAUAUAUCAUGGUAGCUAGACUACUAAAAUUCAUAUAUAAUCAGACUGUUAUGACGUGUCUUAAAUAAAGUUUCUAAUUAAUUAGGUGAAUAAUUACACUAUCUUUGGGUUUACGCAAUAUGUGAUUCAUUAAAUACGUUCGCGCAUGUGUGGUUAAUAUUGUUUGGGGCUGACCAUGAAAUAUAUUUCACCUUACUUUUGCUGUGUAUAAAUGCAACACGUAAUCGUCUUUAAUUUUCUUUUGCACGUAACCAUAUAUGAUAGUCAAAUUUGUUAAGGGAUGAUGGGGUAUCAUAUAUAUAAUCUAUGGUUACAUUGCAUGCGUCGGAUACUAUAAUGAGAAAAUGAUACCAUCUUUGGAAAAUGUAAGAUGAUAAAUCUCUAUAAUUAAUGAACCAAAACAGUCCAUGAGUCAUCAAAUGCUUCACAGUUUAAUUAUAUACUUGUAUUGUGCUAACUGGUAGUGGUUGCUAAUUAUGGAAAUUUAAAUUAUUCGAUGUUUCAUGUCAGGAUGCUAUUUGUGUUUUGAAAAUUUAGAGCUUGAUUGAUUAAAAUUGUUGCACAUAGCAUCGAUCCUUGUAAGCUUAAAUCAAAAGUAUGAGUUGAUUUUUAUUUUUAUUUUGGUGUAUGAAUAGAUUAGGUAGACUAAAAUUACCUAAACAUUAAAAUCAAAUAUUCUGCUAGAUAUGAUUUGUGCAGUAGCUUCAACAAAACUUAACUAAUUUAGUUAACUAUAUGUUAAGCAUGCGUUAAGUAAUUAAGUAAGUGUAACGUGUGCAUAAAAUUUAGGGUUUUAUAAUAAGAUAUGGAUUUGUAAAUAUUAUUCAUCGGCCAAUAUGUAAAUACUAUUCUAGAAAAAAGAUAUUAUGAAUUAACUAAUAAUUAAUUUCUUGUUUUUCCCUAAUGGGGUACGAAUAAUUUUCAUAUAUACACCUAAUCAUAUAGAAAUAUUACGAGGGCAAUGUCGAAUUAAAUGAAUUUCAUAAAAUAAAAUUAAUAAAUAUUUGAAUUGACUUCUAAUACUAAUUAGAUAAAGUGCUUGAUGGAGAACCAGUUAAAGUAUUUGUUUGAAAACUUUUUAUUUGUGUGCUAUUUAAUUGAUGAGAAAAAUAGUUUUUUUUUUUUUUUUAAGAAGCAGAGCAAAAAGGAUGGUUGAAUAGCUCCACUCCAAUUGAGAAGAUACAGUUUGAUGGGCCUCCAUGAGUCAAGUUAUCAAAGCCCACCGUUCAUUGCAAUGGAUUUCUAACUGAAGGAGUUCUAUUUAGUAUUUACUCUGUUCUUCUUAAUCCACCCCUUUUAACAAAGUCUGGAAAAAACAGAUCUGGGCUCACUUUCAAGCAAAUCGGUACUUCAUCAUCAUCAAACAAUCAUGCAUCGUAUUCGUGGGAUUGAACACUAAUGAUCAUUUUGAUUUAUGAGCAGACAGUGAGUAUAUUUUUUUUCCCUUUUAAAAAACACAAUAAAUAAAUAAAUUUGGGGACAAAGAAAAAGAUAAUUUAAGGUGCCGAAUAUUUGGUGAUAAGCAUCGAAUUGCACUAUUUAUUUCUUCGAAUAUUAUUGCGAUAAUUCUAAACAAAUGGUAAGAAAGAAUAUUGUACAAAAUAAAAAUAGAAAAGUCAAAGAAAAAAAGGUCAUAAGAGACUCAAAUACGCCAUUUCUAAGAGAAAUGUUGCGCUUCUCAGUCUCAAAUAAGAGAUAGUGUGAUAUAAUUAUAAAUAAUUUCAUAAUUUAUAAAUUGAUUAUUGAAUACAUAAGUUUCGGUGUGUAUAAAAGAUAGGAAUAUUAUAAACUUAUUUAGAAACUCUAAUAUGGGUUUAUCAUGGGACAAAAAUUCGGUACUGAUCGUAAUCCUCGAUCAUAAUAUUCAUUACGUUAUACCUUACAAUUUAGAUACCAUUAGAUGGUUAGAAAGUUAAUAAAAAUUAAUAAAACCCUUAGCUAUGUGAGGAGGCCUAAGAUGUGGAAUACAAGCACCGUAGUCCAUGGAUACAAAUUUCAUUAUUACUGAUUUAUUAAACAAUAAUUGAGGGUCAAAGCCCUCCAAUUGUGAAAUGUGAUCACAUGAGAAUUUGCCAUUCUCACUUUGUAAAGCAGCCUGCUCUUAACUUCCUCCAACCGUCGACUGAACAUAUGCCGCUCGCAUCACUAAAUUCAAAAUACGAUUGUGACGCGUCACGCUAUCAUUGGUCCUUUCCCAUUUAUUCCCGCGAUCUGCUUUAACGCUCAUGAGCCCACAAAUUCCCCCUUUUACAUCUGGAAUCAAAUUAUUAAUAAUAAACUAUACUGGAAAUUUAUCACUCAUUCCCCUUGAAAUUUAUGAUAUUCUCACAGAGAUAGCAUAUUUCAUUUAAUAGUCGCUUAGCUCCCAUUGAACAAAAUUGAGGACACUUCAAUAACUUACAAUGUGCUCAAGAUAAACACGCUUCUGACAUCCAAAGUUAGCUUCUUUUUUUUUUUUUUUGAAAAAUCAAAAGAUUACGAACAAGAAAUUGAAUUCUACACUUUUAUAAUUUUCUUUGGUCUCAAUUUAUAAUAGAAAAAGAUUUAUGAGUGCAGGAUUGAUGUUUUUUUUUAUCAAUCCAAUCCAUACAAUCAGAUGCCUAUUGAUAUUUACAUAUGAUAUUUAUUGAAACCACUUAGAUUACUUUUAUUAUGAGAUAAUUCAAAUUUAUAUCUCAUAUACUUUGAAUGUUUUAUUUCACUUAUAUUUUUUAUUAGAAGAGGAAACAGUCUCUUACUGGACUCAAACUGCUACUCUCACAAUUAAUCCCACUCGGACACUUGACAAUUCGACAUGCAUGAGAAGAAAAAAAAAAUUAUUUUGAUAAUUAAUUAAAAAAAGGAAGUGAAUAAAUCCCGGCCAUAGAAGUUUAAAUCUGACACGUCUCAUGAAAAAGAUUAGAAAACAUUCUUCCUCGCUGGUUUAUUUUAAUACAGAUCUAGGGGAGCAAAUAAUAAACAGACCAGAGUAGUUGAUUUAAGACGAAACAAUAAGAAUAAGAGCAAACGUCACGAUAACAUGAUUCAUGAAAAACAACAACAAAAGAAGCUUCGCAGGUCCCGUUUGCUUCUUCCUGUCAUCAUUCCUUCCUUUUUCAUUAUUGUUGGUGGUUGUCUCUGCUUUUACAUUAUAAUAUAUUCAUGAAACCGCGUUCUGAUUUAUUCCCAAGAAGAUAAUUGUAUCUAGAAACUCAACUCUUGUUCAUUUUCUUAAUUUGGCGGCCCUUCAGGUAAGCGCCAUCAACUCGGUUACGUUAUAUAUAUUUAGUAAACCGUGUCGAUGAAAUCUCCAUUCCCUCUUCUUUUUCUUUUUCUUUUGUUGAUCUUUCUAUGAUUGUUUCCUUGCAAAACCCAACAAACAAAUUGAAAUAAAAAAGAAAAAAGAAAAAGAAAAAUUGGGAUUCUUGAACAGCGUCAUGUUACCUGCAGGUAACCAAACAGAGAUGAGAGACAAAAAGGGAUUCUUUAAUAGCGUUGCCUCUGGUUCUGGGACUAUCUUGCGUCCCUUGCAUGAUCUCCUACACAGAAGGUGGACAAUUAAAUGAAUUAUGAGCUUAUUUAUUUCGAUUUUUGCUUGUUAUUUUUUUUAUUAUUUUUUUAACUUUGUGGGUGUUCUCGAUGUGCUGAUUCAUGUGAGAUUCUACUCGAGAAUCAUGAUUGAAGUAAAUGGGAACCUGGGAGUCUGAUAAAAUUGUUGUUCCUGAAUUAAGUGCUAUUAUUGAUGUGAAUUGAAUUGGGUUUGUGAAUUACAUGAUCUGAAGGAAACAAAAUGGCUUAAUAUUAAGUUUCUGUAUUUGAUGGCCUCUUUUGAUGCAAUGUGCAGUUCAGAGGAAGCGGCGGCUACUCCCAAAUCGAAGAUUUUAAACAACUAUUACAUUCCAAAUUACAUUCUUGUAUCUGGAUCGGAGGUUCAAAGAUCUAGCCUCAUACCAUCUUGUCCGGUGCUAGUGUUCAUCAACUCAAAAAGUGGCGGCCAGUUGGGCGGGAAGCUUCUGCUCACUUACCGUUCCCUUCUUAAUGAAAACCAGGUAAUUCCAUAAUUACAUUGUCUGCAAACUUAAGGCUUCUAGUUGUGAAUGCGGGUAAACUGUUUUUUGUGGAAUUGAUGCUAGGGUGACCAAAUUUUCAGGUUAUUGACUUGGGAGAAAAGGCACCUGAUAAAGUGUUACAUCAGCUUUAUGUCACUUUAGAGAAGUUCAAGGCUGCAGGAGAUGUUUUUGCUUCUGAAAUUGAGAAGAGGUUGAGAUUAAUUGUGAGUUGGCUUGUUCAUGUAUAUGCAUAUCUAUAUUACCGUUCGUAUUUUUAUGUUCCGUAAGUCCCUAAUUUCUGUUUCUAACAUGUGCUGUAAAAUCAGGUUGCAGGCGGAGAUGGUACGGCUAGCUGGCUCCUUGGAGUUGUUAGUGAUCUAAAACUACCUCAUUCACCUCCAGUUGCGACAGUGCCACUAGGAACAGGAAACAACAUCCCGUUCUCAUUUGGCUGGGUACGUUAAUUGUUUACUUGUCUUGUGAUGCUGAAUUUAGAGAAUGUCAAUCUUCUGAUUGUUUUGUGUUGAUUUCAUCCAUGGGUAAAGAUAUUAGUCAUUUUUGAAACCACUGGUAUGACUCAUAACUAGAAUUUUAUGCUUCUAUUUUGUUUUCAGGGAAAGAAAAAUCCAAACACAGAUCAACAAGCAGUGCUAUCGUUCUUGGAACAAGUAAAGAAUGCAAAGGAAAUGCAAAUUGACAGGUAAGGCAUUCAUAAGGGGUCAUACUAUCGACUUCUGAAGUUUACUUGUUCAUGCCAUCUCCACUUAUAGUGGCACUUAACUGCAGGGUUUGAGACUUGCAUAAAAUCUGAUAGUAACCUCAGUGAAUUUAAUGUUGGAGGUAAAUGUUUGAGUCAAACAUGUAUCGAAUUGCUAGUAUUUUUUUUAAGGAGGAAGUAUGUCAUUAUAAGAGUUAACGUGUUGCAGUACUUUUUAUAGUCAAUGAUGGUUGUCCUCAGAAAUCCCUGCUAAACCAUGUUAGAUUUGCUACAGAAAUCUAAUUUUGCUAUCAUCAUAUUCAAUGCCAUGGUUGUCUUGUCCACAGAAAUCUAAAAUGCUUCUCUGCUCAAUCUUUUAUUUUUAUUUUCUGUUUACCAACUAUAUGUUCUUGAUUGCAUUUCAGCUGGCAUAUUCUCAUGAGAAUGAAGGCUCCUAAAGAAGGAUCUUUUGAUCCCAUUGCACCUCUUGAACUACCUCAUUCUUUGCACGCAUUUCAUCGUGUCUCUCAAAAAGAUAAACUGAAUGUGGUAAGUCUUCAUUUCCAUUAUUUGUGCUUGCUAAAUGCUCCCUUUCAUUUUUCAUAUACCCUAUUUGCUUCAUCUACUUCAAUCAAUGAUGUAAUAUGUGGUAACAAGUGAUUCGAGAUGCUGUCACUCUUAGACCUCUUCUGCUAUUCCAGUUCUCUAGAAAGUUCAGAUACUCUUAGAGAGAAGAAAGGAUAGAGUGGUAGGCAUCCAUGCACAUUAAAUCAAAAUAGACUCUUUACUCAUUUUUAUCCCGAACAAUAAUGGUGAAUUACUUAAUGGAAAACCAUGACAUCUGAGAGCAACGUCAGACUCUUCAAAAGACCUAAAUGUUCUCAACUUGAUAACUGUAAAAAUUUAGGCAUGAUCCUUAUCCAAAAUUGAGCAUUUAAGAUUGACAUAACCUUAGUUUUUUGAACUGAUUAAAUUCAAUGCUCAAAAUAGCACAACUUUUUUCAUCACCAGUCUGUGCCACUCUGCUCAUGCACUUGACCAUUUAAAUACCUCACUUCCCUAAUUUGGAAUUGUGCAUGGAGCGAAUUAUUUUUGCACUUUUCAAUAAGGUCAUCAUAAAAACCCAUAGAAUAUUAAGAUCACAACCAUGGAUCACAAGUCAGACACAAAAUGAGUAUUUGAAUCUGAGAACUGUCAUUACUUUGCUGUGGUUUAAUUUAAUUUCUGAUGUUUAUUUGCUUCAUAUACAUGUGGUACUACUUUGCUUGCUUAAUGGGAAAUGUUUUUACGAUGUUCUCAGGAGGGCCAUCACACAUUUCGUGGGGGAUUUUGGAACUACUUCAGCAUGGGUAAGAAAUCUAACAUUUGUUUGCUAGUAGCCUCCACUCCUCCAACAUCAGAAUAAUUACUGAGUUUAUUUAACAAACGUUUAUGUGUUUUGUGCAGGAAUGGAUGCUCAAGUAUCAUACGCAUUUCACUCUGAGAGGAAGUUACACCCAGAAAAAUUCCAAAAUCAAUUAGUUAAUCAGGUAGGAAUAUAUAUAUAUCUUCACUGUUAUUGAAACAUAUUUCACUUGUCUUCUCCUUAAUGUGAAUCCUUAUAAUAUUUCGGCUGCUGUUGACAUUCUUUCUUUCGAUAUUGCAGAGUACUUAUUUGAAGCUUGCUGGUACUCAAGGAUGGUUUUUGGCUCCUCUAUUGCAUCCUUCUUCAAGGUGAGUCUUUGAAUUGAUGAUUGAUAUAAUAUAUUCUGUAAAAUAUGUCAAUUACUUCACCUUUAUGUCUAUCAAUUCAGGUCAUUUUGAAAUUAACAUUUCAAUAUAAGCCUGAUGUUGCAAUCUCAGCUGUCUCGGCAUGGCCCCAAUAAUUUUAGUUAUGCUGGUCAGGACUGUUUGAUGAAAUUAAAAUUUCCAUAUAGUGUGUAGUCUUAUGAUGUUGAGAGGCUCUGUCUUCUGAAAAUGUUAAAUGUAAACUAAAACUAUCAAGUGUUUUGUUGUUUAUCCAUGCGACUCUGUCAGCCUGUCAGUAGUCCAUUCAACAUAGCUGCUGUCUUCAAAGAAUACUUGGCCAUGGAUGUCAGAGACUAACUUUGUCUUUUUGAAAUCUCUCUUGAUGCCUUUACUUGAUAAUUAUCAAUUUUUCGCUGUUGCACUACUGCACUAAAAUCAUAUUGAACUACUUAGUCACUAGGCUGUCUCCCCCAUGGUUUGAGUACUUCAAUUUUUGAAUGAAUUAUUGUUACCUUAAUUGAGUAUACGAUAAUGAUAUAAGAUCAUUAUCAUAUACAUAUAUUUCUUUUUUUUGUUCAAUCCGUAAUUUUCUUUAGACUUAUGGUUUGGUUUACUCUUCUAGUUAAUCUUUGUGUUGAUAAUGUUUGUUGAUUUACAUGAUUUUAUUACAGAAACAUCGCACAGAUGGCAAAAGUUAAAAUUAUGAAAAAGCAAGGCCAAUGGGAGGAACUCCACAUACCUCGCUAGUAAGAUGAUAUAUUCUAUCCCUAGUUUCGAUUCAUUAAUUCAUUUGAUUCCUCGUUUCACUCCGAUUUUCCUUCCCAUUUCACUAAUACUUCAUCUUUAACAUACAGCAUUAGGUCUAUUGUCUGCCUUAACUUGCCCAGUUUUUCUGGUGGACUUGAUCCUUGGGGGAAACCAUUCAGGAAGAAACUACGUGAGGUUAGUUCUAAUUUAUUUGUUAGCCUAUUAUUUCAUGAGUUAUCAAGUAAAAACAUAUUUAUCAACAAUUAGUCUCCCCAGCACAAAUCAGAUACUAAUCCGUGAUGGUUUUAAUUUUUAGAGAGGCUUGACUCCUCCAUAUGUUGAUGAUGGCCUGCUUGAGAUUGUUGGUUUUAGAGAUGCAUGGCAUGGGCUUGUAUUGCUUGCCCCUAAUGGACAUGGAACUCGUCUUGCUCAGGUAUGAAGAUAAUUGUAACUUUUAUGAUGACAUUGCUGCUUGCCAAAAGUGUGUGCUGGUAUCGUCUGGAAGCCAUUCCGCUGCUGUCCCUUCUGCUUAUUUUUCACUUUUUCAUUUCUAUUUUCUCAUACAGGCAAACAGAGUCCGUUUUGAGUUUGAGAAGGGUGCUGCCGAUCAUACAUUCAUGAGGAUUGAUGGAGAGCCAUGGAAACAACCUCUCCCCGUUGAUGAGGACACAGUUGUCGUAGAAAUUUCCCACCUCCGCCAAGUGAACAUGCUUGCCACCCCAUGUUGCCGCUCGAGAAGCAUAAACGAUGCCCCUUCUCCUGCAAGUAUUAUUGAUGAAGAUUGCGAAAGUAUCGAAGAUGAAUCUUCUGAAGAUUGGGAAGAGAGGAGAAAAUUCGGUGCAGCUGACACAUUUAAAAUCCCAGAGGAGGUUGAUAUAACUCAGCUUAGCUGAAAAUACCAACAGCUAAGCCUGGGUACAUAUGUACAUAAUACAGCGUGUCGAUCAAUCUUCUUUUUCUUUAUUUCAUUAGUAAUUAGCAUUUAGAUUAAUUUUGAUUAUGGUUUUAACUGAUUGAUGUUGUUUCUUCUUCCCUGUAAAGUUCUGUUUGUAAUAUACGGUACGGUUGGAAUUGAUGAGUCGCUCUCUUUAAUUAAUGUUUCAUUGGUCUCAUAUUAGAAAGCUAAUUAGCUAAGUUUUUUUUUUUUUUUUCCUAAAUUAGAUUAUGCCAAGGUUAAGGUUCAUUUAAUUGUGAAAAAUAACCAAAACCAUCAGACAACAGUGUGGUUUAAAUUUAUUUAUUUAAUAAAAUCCGUUGAUCUCGAAUUCAUUGGCGCCCCUGAUCAGAAUUUAAAAAAAAAAGAAAAAGAAUAAUCAUCAAUAUAUUCUUUUGAGUGGGAAUAUACGCGAAUUAACGAAACAAAAACGUUGACGACCAAAGAAAAGCAAAGCGAAUGGUUUCAUUUUCAUGAAAAAUUGUUUACUGUUUGGAAUGUAUUGUACGGUUGAGUCGUCGUCUUUAAUUCAUCUUUUAUUUCAGAAUCUCUGUAAUAAGUUAAUUCAAACCGCUAACUAAUUUAGCAGAGAAAACUUAUGUAUGUGAGUCGUCGAAGAAGUAAUCCCACAUUGCUUAAUUGAUAAACAUUUCUUGGUUUAUAAAUAAAACCCAAGAGAACCCGGGGCCGAGGGCCACAAAGAGGAUAAAAAGAAAAAACAACAAACCCGUCCCCGUUGAGGCCCUUUUUGGUAAUUUUGUUUUAAGUUUAUGGGCUUAAGGGAACUGGGCUCAACCUUUUAUAUUUGUUCAUUUCAAAUUACGGCCCUUUUAAAUAGAAUACUCAAUGUCUGGGUUCAUUUUGAUCCAUUGUCAGUCAACACAUUCGAGCAAAAUUUUAUGCGAAGUAAAUGGUUUCAGAUUCAUGUAAAAUUGUACGUGCUUCUUACACGUGCUGUAAUUAUAUGAGUAUUUCAUAAUUUUUUAUAUAAACUUUGAAAAAUAAAAAAUUAUAAUCAUAAAAAUUCCCUAAAUUUAAUAAAAAAUAAAUCUCAAAAUUAGAAGUUUUAUUUUUAAUAAAAAUUAUGAAAAUUUGAGAUUUAAUAAAAAUCCCCUAAAUUAUUAAAAUUUUAGGAUUUUCUCUUUUAAGAAAUAAAUUUAGUUAUUUUAAUAAAAUUUUACAAAAUUAUAAUUUUUAAUAAAUAAAUUCAGUUAUUUUUAUUAAAAUUUUGCAAAAUUAUAAUUUUUUAAUAAAAAUGAUUAAUAAAAUUUUGUAAAAUCUAAAUUUAGUAAAAAUUAGUUGAGCACCUCUAUUUGGGAUGUAUUUUUUUUAUUAAACUUAUGGAUAUUUUUAUGAUUAUAAUUUUUAUUUUUCAAAGUUUAUAUAAGAUAAAAUAGUUUUUUAAUUUAUUUUAGGGUAAAUUUGUCAUUUUUAAAUUAUUUAACGAUGUCAGUGUAAAAGUGGUUAGUUGAUAUUGAUGUGAAAAAAAAGUUAGUGCAGAAAAUAUGUUAUAAUUUUGUGAUGGUUGGAUGAAUAAAAAAAAAGUGGUUCAAUGAUAAUUUCCCAAAAUUUAAUAAUGUCUACUACAAUAAUAAAAAAAGAAGAGAACAAUUCAAUUAUUUUAAUAAAUGCUCUCUACUUCUGUCUUGUAUUUUUCUUCAUUGAAUUUUCUUUUUGUUGUUUAAACCGUUAAGUUUUGAGUGCACUUUUUAUACUAAUUGUUGUUGAAUCUUGAAGAUCAUAUCGAAAAAUCUUCCUUUGAGGCGUGAAAAUUUGUCUUAAGGACAUGCCUUGACAAAUAUAUAAUUAAUGUGUAUUGGGUAGGAUAAGUAGUACCAAUGAAUAGUAAUGUAAACAUUACCAACAGUAAUUAUUCAUAAAAUUUUAUUCUCCAUGUUCUAUAUUUGUCUCAGUCUAUUAUUAAUCAAUGUUUAUUGAUUAAUGUUGUUGUUUUAGUUGGGUUAGGAGUUUAAAGAAACAAUAUUGCCUUAUAAAUAUAAGUACUCGUCUUUAUUCAUCUCUAAUCGAUCCUCAAAUUCAAAAAGUUAAUUUUUAUUUGACUAAUCACGUUACCCGUGUAAAUAUAUUGAAGUUGGCUUAUAUAAGUGGAUUAGCCAAGUUUUUUUUUUUCUAAAUUAGAUUAUGCCAAGGUUAAGGUUCGUUUAAUUGUGAAAAAUAAACCAAAACCAUCACACAACAGUGUGGUUUAAUUUUAUUUAUUUAAUAAAAUCCGUUGAUCUCAAAUUCAUUGGCACCCCUAAUCAGAAAUAAAACAAACAAAUAGAAUAAUCAUCAAUAUAUUCUUAUGAGUGGGAAUAUUUUCUCCACAAUUUGUGUAAACCACCUCAUUUUAGAAAAAUAAUAUCCGAAGACUCAUAAUAUCAUUUUUAAAUAAUUCAAAAUAAAUAAAAAUUUAAGAAAAUUAAUCAAUUAAAUCUUUCAUUUUGUGCUUUAAAUUUCUCACCAAAAAAAAAAAAAUUGCUAUAACAUAAGUUUCAAUUGACUAUUUUUUUUCUUUAUCAUCUCCACAUGUUAUGAUAUAAAUUUUAUAGUUUGAUAAAUUUUAUGAGAUAUUUGUGAAAUUUUAUGAGAUAUUUGUGACAAAGAUUUUUUUUAAAUUUUUAAUUGAGGAUUAAAAAUUAUACUAAUAAAGUAGUAUCGAUAAAUAAUUUAGAUAACAGAAUUCUAUGUAGAAUAAAAUUCUAAAAAAAAAUGUUGAAGUUAAAACGAGUUUUUGAUAUUUUGAUACUACACCUAUUAAGGGUAAAAUAAUCAAACUAAACUUAUGUUAAAAACUUAAAUCGUAAAGAAAUAAAUCAUGAACGGAUUAAAUUCAUUAAUUGCACAAAAUUCAUGCUUUAAUUAAUAAUGUAAAAUUCUUUAUAUUCAAUUUUUUUCAAGACUGGGGCGAAAUUAAAGUUACACCAAUGGUCCCAUUCUUAUGACACAUUAAAGUGAAAAGCUAAAAAUUAAUCAAAACGUGAACAUGUAAGCAAAGUCUCACGACUUUGAACAAAUUACGCAAAUUAAUGAACCAAAAACGUUGACGACCAAAUCAAAGCGAGUGGUUUCAUUUUUCAUUAAAAACUGCCGACCGUUUGAAAUGUAUUGUACGGUUGAGUCGUCGUCUUUGAUUUCCUGGUUUAUUCAAACCACUAACUAAUUUAGCAGAUCAAAGUUAUGUUUGUGAGUCUUCGAAGAAGUAAGUAAUCCCACAUUGCUUAAUUCAAUAAAAUUUAUUGGUUUAUAACUAAAAUCAACUUUAUUGAUACGGCCAGGGGGUCUAAAGGGAGAACAUGUAUCUCUUCCGAGGCUCGCUGAUUUUGUUUUAAGUAUUGGGCCAAGCGGAACUGGGCUCAACCGUUUAAAUUUGUUCAUUUAAAUCACGGCCCUUUUAAAUAGAUUAGGCAAGGUCUGGGUUCAUUUUGAUCCAUUGUCAGUCAAUACAUUCGAGCAAAUUUUUAAGCAACGUAAAUGGUUUCAUGUUCAUGUAAAAUUGUACGGACUGAUUAAGUUGACCACACUUUUACAGUUUAAUGAUUGCAACUGUUUGUAAUUCGUCCAUCCAUGUGAAGUCAUAUACCGUUUGUAAUAUAUUAUGCGUGUUGUAAUUAUAUGAGAAUUUCAAAAUAUUGAUAUCCCACAAUAAAGUAAAGUGAGAGCAAUUUUUUUUUUUUUGUGUUUAAUUUAAAAUUAGUCAUGUACAAACUAGAGUUGAAUAAAUGAAAUUUACAUGUGAUUUGAAUUAUUCGAGUUGAAUUAAAUUGUGAUACUCAUGGAUAACAAAUUCAAAUUGAAUAAGAAAAGUGAAUGAUUAAUUCAAAUUGAAUGAGAAAAAGGUCUAUAUAAGAGAGACCUAUAAAAUCUUUAGUAAUAUCUAUUACGACAAUAAAAAGAGAAGAGAACAAUUCGAUUAUUUUAAUAAAUGCUCUAUGCUUUUGUCUUGUAUUUUCCUUCAUCGAUUUUUCUUUUUGUUGUUUAAACCGUCAAAUUUGGAGUGCACUUUUUAUAGUAAUCGUCGUUGAAUCUUGAAGACCAGAUCGAAAAAUCUUCCUUUGAGGCGUGAAAAUUUAUCUUAAGGAUACGACUUGACAAAUAUAUAGUUAAUGUGUAUUGGGUAGGAUAAGCAAUAACAAUGAACAGUGAUGUAAACAUUACCAACACUAACUAUCCAUGAAAUUUUAUUCGCCACGUUCUAUGUUUGUCUCGGUCUAUUAUUAAUCAAUGUUUAUUGAUUAAUGUUGUUGUUUUGGUUGGUUUAGGAGUUUAAAGAAACAAUAUUGCCUUAUAAAUAUGAGUCCUCGUCUUUAUUCAUCUUUCAUCGAUCCUCAUAUUCAGAAAGUUAAUUUUUAUUUGACAAAUCACGGAAUCCGUGUAAAUAUAUUGAAGUUGGCUUAUGCAAGUGGAUUUUAGUGGAGGCUCAACUCGAUUCACCAAGGACCCUAAAGAGAGCAAAACCAAGCCCAGCGAGAGCUGGACACUAGAGCAGACAUGAGGGCCCUUUUGUAAUUUUGUCUCAAAGUUUUUUAUUGGGCUAGACCGAUUCGGCCCAAACUUUUGAUUUUUCUUUUUAAACUAUUUCGGCCCUGCUCGCAUAUUCUUUGACGCGUAAAAGAGAAAAAAUAACACAUGGACCACUGCUUGCCAACACAAGGAAGCAAAAAGCCUCACGAUUUUCAACAAAUUAAGUAAAUCAGAAGAAACAAAAACAAGCAAAGCAAAUGGUUUCAUGUUGAAAAAACCAUGGGUUCUGUUCCCUGACCCACCGGUUGAAUUUUUUAGAAGGAUGAAAAAACCCCCAGCGCCGCUGGUUUUACUGGCUUUUAAUUCUUUUAUUUCUCACACUAUAAAUAGCCGACGACUCCGUCAAUCAGAGAGCAUCGAGUUGUUUAAAUCCCCAUAGAAAAACUCAGAGCCACCCCACUUCUUCCAAUAUACACAUAUUCAAAAUCCCAUAUCUCUGUAUAUUCGAAGUUGCAGAAUUCAAAAAAAAAAAAAAAAAAAGAUUGAAACAUGAGUGCAGCAGCAAGAAAGGCUUGGUUUGUGGCAGCGAGUAUUGGGGCUGUUGAGGCAUUGAAAGAUCAAGUGGGAAUCUGCAGGUGGAAUUUUAUUAUAAGGUCCGUGCAUCAACAUGCAAAGAACAAUUUGAGGUCAUCGCUCAAUCAAGCCAACAAGGCCAUCUCUUCAUCUCCAGCUUCCAGGGAGAUUUUUAAUAGUAAUAAUUUUUAUAACAAGGCGAAGAAGCCCGAGGAAAAGGUCAAAAGGGUCAUGGAUUUGAGCUGCUGGGGUCCUAGUACUGUUAGGUUUUGAUGACUUUGAUCUUGAUAAUCACCAUCAUCGUCUCAUGAAUGUACAUGAUCCGAUGUCUUCUUAUUUAGAGAUAAUUAUUUAUCUAGUUAUGUCUUUAUUUUUUUUUUCAAUUUUUAAAUGUAAUAUCAAAUUCUACCUCUUUAUCUUUGAUAUAUAUGAUAUGAGUGGAAUUUGAUGAAUUCAUUCAUAAUCCUUCUAAUCAUUUGAAGAGAUUUUGUAUCAGGUGGUUGGAUACUUAAGGAGUAUUCACCAAAUUAAUUAAUCAGUAGCGAUUUAUACUUAGUUUUUGAUUCACCAAUGCUAAGAGACAAAACUAAAAAUUUAUUAUAAAUUAAUUAAUUGUCAAUUUAUCAUCAUCGUUAUUAUCAUUGUUGACUUUCCUUGAAUUUUCCGUCUGGGUAUAAACUAUAGUGUCACAGCAAAUUGACAAUAACAAACAAUUUUUUUUUUUUUUUGAAAUUACAGCAAAAAGAUAAAUAAUUUAGAUUCAAAUACUUUGGAUUGUUUCCUGUUGGCUUGAAUAACCAAGAACUGCUUGUUGUCUUUUCUACUAGCCAAUUCUAUAAAAGAAAGGGGUCUUAGCAGAAUCAGGAGAACAGAAAAAUUCUCUUGAUUUUGAGCAGCUGCCAAAAUCACUAUUUAAAUUGUAAGAAACAAUUAAAAUGAGUACGUCGGCAGGAAAAGCUUGGAUUGUGGCAUUGAGUGUUGGUGCCCUGGAAGCUUUUAGAGAUCAGGCAGGAAUUUGCAGAUGGAAUAACAGUUUAAGUUCUUUUGCUCAGGUCAAUUUAAUUUAUGCUCCAGCUUCUGAUUUCAGGGAUAUGAUCAAUUUUUCAAGCGUUUUCAGAAACAAGAACUCCAUGGAAAAAAUCAUGCUUUUGGGCUGUUGGGGUCCUAAUACUGUUAGAUUUUAGUUCUCAAAAUUGGAAUUUUUUUCUUUUUCUUUGGGCCAACAUAAAGAUUGUAGUCAUGGACUUCUGGGUGCCAGCAUUUUAUAAUAAACAUAUGCUUAGCCAAAUUUCAUAAUUCUAUUGUCUUUUUCUUAGUUAAUUUUGCAAUGUUUGUACUGGAGAGAAGAUUUUGUUAGAAAUUAAACAUUUGAGAAAGUUCGAUUAAUUAAAAUGAUUUUAGAAGAAUUAAUUAAUGCAACCAUUUCUUUUUUUUUUUCCGUUGGAACUUUGUUAUAUCAAUACGCUAUAAGCAUAUAUCGUUAUACUUUUUUGUCAAGGCCAUCUCUAUGUUACCCUACAGUCUAUGUACUAUCAAACGAUUUGAUUUUUUUAAUUUUUCCGACUUGUUAAUACUGUCGAAACUAUACCACUGAAAACCAUUGUUGAACUCUGUUAUUAUUAAAUUUUAAGAACCUAAUUCACCAAAUUCUCAAAUUCCUUAAAUAUUACGAUUACAAUAAUUAAUAUAACUUCUUCCGGCUUCAAAAAGUGGUACUUGGCAAUUUUCAAUCAUUAAGCCACGAUAUGAAAUUGGUUAAUAAACGUAGAAGAAAAAGUAUUAUGUCAAAGCAACGAUUUUAGGUUCGAUUGUGUAUGCGCUCAAGAACGAUAUGGUAAUCGAUUUUAUUCUAUACACAGAUGGAGAGCAGUGAAUAUUAAGGAUGGCAAAAUUCAGAUAGGAUCUGAAUAUAGGUGUAUCUAGAUUUAGAUCACACAUUGAUAUUUUGAGAUUUGGAUCCGCAUCUGGAUCGGCAAAAAGAAUAUGUGGAUCGGAUGGAGUUACAAUCUCGCGGAUUGCGAGCAAAUUUUGUCAUACUUAAUUCAAUAAUUUACCUAAUAAAAUCAAAUAAAAUCUAAUUGACACUUAGAAUGACAUUCAAUAACACUAUAAAUCUACAAAUAAAAUUACCACAACAUAAAUUAAACAUUAAGAGUAAUAUAAAUCUAAGUCUAACUCAACCAUAAAUCCAAAAAUAAAAACACCAUAAGUCCACAUAAAUUUCUUUUAAAACCAUCACAAAUAAGAACAUCACCACAAAUCUACAUAGAUUUGAUUUUUUUUUUAUUUAACUUACACAUCUUUUAAUUUUAUUUUAUUUUAAUAAAUCAUUUAAUGAAAAAAUAAUGUAGAUCCAAAUAUCUGAUUUUUCAAAUGCACUUACAUUCGAAUCUACAAGAAUUUUAAUUUUUGGCAUCCAAAACCACAUUUUUUAAUGCCCAAAUCUGAAUUUUUUGGAUCUUUCAAAUAUUUAUAGAUCCAGACCGAAUUUGGAUUUUUUUUUUGUCAUCCCCAAUCAAUAUGGUAGUUUCAACAAUUUUCAACCUUUACACAUCUUCCUAACUGCUUGGCUUUUAGUAAAGAUGGCAAUGGUUCGGGAUUUGACAAUCUCGGUCCCAUCCCGAAUAGUAAAACGAGAUUUUAAUGCGGACCGAAUCCCGUCCCGAAUAGUUAAACGAGAGAAAAAUAAUGAACUAAUCCUAGACAGCUCAAAAUCCCGUCCUGGACCAAAUGGCCCAACGUCCCAAAUGUCCCAUUUAAUAAAUACUAUAAAUUUCAUUAAAAUAUUAAAAAAAUAUUUAAUCCAGUGAUUCUAUAAAAUUGUUAACAUCUCAAUAGACAUUAUAAUCAUGGGAUGUGCAAUUAAACCAAAAAUAACAUCCAAAAGUAAAUUAACUAAUUGUAAAGCAUCCAAAAAUAAACCAACAUAUAAUAACCAACAAAAGCAUCCAACUUCUAAAAAAAAAAAAAAAAACAAAAACAAAAGCAUCCAAGAUUUUUGUCUACAUUCUUCAACUCCAAGUUCAUACUUUUGGAUCAACCUAUAAAAAUUAGAAUAUGUAAAGAAUAAAUUAGAAAAACAAAUAAUAUUAUACAUUGAUAAUUACAUGAUAUGCAUUUAAUAACGUUUAAAAACAUUAUUAGUUACGGAAAUGCUAGAUGAGGUGGUUGAAGUUAAGCAAAAAAUGGGGAUGAGCAACAUGCAGUUGUGUUUUAGUUUUAGAUUAAAAUACUUUUAGGUUUCCAUUUUAAUAUUUUUGUUUUAGAUUUAUUUAAUUAAACUAAAAAUAAUACAACAAACGGGCUUGUGAUUGGUACUUGGGCUUAGGAUAUAUUGUUUUAAUGCUAUUUGAAUCACGAUUUCUUAACUAUUAGUUUAAUUUUACUUAUUUUUAAUUUUAUUAAUAUAAUAUUUCUUUCAAAAAUUAAAUGGGACAAACGGGAUCCCGCGGGAUCCCGACUUAGAUCCCAAUCCUUUUCCACAAAGAAAAUUGAGAUUUUUUUUUUCAAUAUUAAAUCCCGCCCGCUUUUAAAAUUUGAUUCUAAAAUAUGGAUCAAUACAGUCCCAAUAGUUCGGGAUCCCAAAUUCCGAAUGUGAUUUGCGAUUUUUUGUCAUCCCUUGGAGUAGGUAUCUAGUUCAUUGCUUUAGGUAUUAGCAAUAGCACUAUGCUGUUCUUGUGCAUAAAUUACGGAUUGGUUGUAUUUAACAGUAAUUUAACGUUAAAUUGUGCAGACUGAGUGAUAUUUGGACAGCAACGUUAACAGUAAGUUAACGUUAAUUUCAAUAUUUGGAUCCUCUGCGAUUCUUUUCUAUUAUUUUGAGUGAUAUUUGGACAAUACUGAUUGCAGAAUCAUAAAUUUCGAAUUACAAUAAAGGAGGUAAAAUUGCGAUAAUACAAUAUUUAUUUCAUAAUUUAAUCUGCCCUCUCUUUCACUCUGGAAAGUUCCAGCUUCAGUUACAUCUCAUAUUCCGAAAGCCGACAGCGGAUCAAAAACGUCAAUAGAAAAGUUAUCCGUGUUAGUAUAUAACCAUGUGCAUAUUAAAAGUACUUGCCCACAAAGUCAGCAAAACCGUAUAGUCAUCACUCCACUCAGCAGCCAUUUGUCAUUCGUCAUUUGUCACCACCCAUUGAAUUAUUUUUUGAAACCAAAAAAAAAAAAAAAACCAGCAUCUCUCUGUCCAUAGGCCUGGGAUCCAAACCCACGAAUGGUUUCACUUUCCCGAAAAACAAACAGAACCCCGGUUUUUUUUUUUUUUUUAAGUAAUUCGACCUUUUUAACAGCUCUCUAUUAUUUUCCUAUAUAAGUACCCAAAUCCAACGAACAAACUGUCACUUAAAAGUCCAAGAACUCAACAACCUCUCUACUCUCUAUAAGUUGCCCAUCAAAUUUUCUUCCGGAACCCAACUUAAUAUUUUAUCGUUUAUAAUCAUUAAAAGAAGUAUUUGGGGGUGAGGAGAGUAUAGUAAGAGACAUGAGCAGCAACGGUGGCAGAGUUUGCAAGUUUGAUUCAGCAUUCAUCAAGUAUGUGCUGCAAGAAUCUUGUGGCUAUAAUAAGGGCAACAAUAAUUCUAUUGCAAGGAGUCUUGCUGGUGGCGUUAGUAAUAAUAAUAACAGUCAGGGUAUCAAGAGGUUUAAUGGAGAUGAGAUCAAGAAAAAAAGGAGGCAACAAGAGAAGGCUGAGAUGCUCUUCCACCUAAUUUGCUGGGGACCCAAUUAAUUUAUUAUUUGUAUUUCUUCUUUUUCUUCAUUAUUUAAAAAAAAAAAUCAUAUGGGAGAGAAAGAGAUGUAUUGGUUUAUCUUUAUUGUAGGAAUCUUGGUGCUUAUGGAAAUAAAUCAUAUGCUUUCAAUUUAUUGGAUUUUCAAUUUCAAAUGAUUUUUAUUUAAACAUAAAAAUUAGCUCGGAUAUUUAGGCAUUAAAAAAAAAGGUCAUUCACAUCCAAACAUCCUUCCAGAAUUUUCUAUUAGAAACAAUCUAGAAUUUCAACUCAAUUUAGGUAUACUAAAAAUUUGAUGUAAAAUAUAUAAUUUGAUGGAUAUUUUAGUAAUUUCAAUAAAUUUAUCAUAGAAGAUUAAAAAAAGAAAAUAAAUUAAAGCUUAGCAACGAGUAGAGUAAAAAGUCUUCGUUUUGUGAAUGAUAUUGUAAACGGUGGAUUUACUGCUUGUAAAAGUAUAGUUGUGGAUUAAAUGUUUAGAUUUCAGGAACCCGAAGGCAUGAUAAGAAAAUAGAAGAGUAAACGAAAAGAAUAAUGACAUUGUAAAAUUUCAUGUAUUAAAAUUAUCUAAAUUAAUUAAACAAUCAUCUUCCGAAUUGGGAGAUGGACCUGCCACAGUCAUUGUCCAGACAAAAGAAACUCGGUGUUGACAAAAAAAAUUUAGUAAAUCGAAUUUCAGGCAAAAUAUCAAUAUCAUUUUUCUAUUUAUAAUAAUGUAUAAUUAGAUAUAAUUACAUAUUAUUUCUUAUUCAAUAAUUACCUAAUAUAGGUCCUCUUUGUGAUUGAAAUGCGAUAAUUUUUAAAUUACAACUAUUUUGAAAAAAAAACUAUAAUUAUAAAAUAAAAAUUAAUAGUAUAUAAUAAAUAUAACUUUUAAAUAAUUUUUAAAAAGAUAAUAGAUUUUUUAUUAUAAAAGUAAAAAAUUAUAUUAAUAUAUCUUUCAAACUACUAGCGGCCAACUUUUAUUAAUCCCAAACAGAAUCAUAAUAUUAUUAAAAAAAUAAUUUUUUAGGAGUAACGAGACAUCUGUGUCUAGAUAUUGAUACAAAGUAUUUGAUCAACACAUUUGUAAGAGAAGACCUAGUAAUGCAAAUUUGUUGGCACUAUAAGAUUAAAAUAUGGAGUAAUGGUUUUUUUGCAAUGCUCAGUUCUAUUUUCUAGGAAGAUAUUUUUAUUGGCUGCACGUUGAUAGAAACUAGGAUGGUUAAUAGCUUGUAAUUGGAGGCAAAUCACGAACAAAAUUAAUUCCAAUAAACCAAGCAUUAAAGUAGUCAACGAAACCAAACAUAAAACAAAUGUCAUUCCAAAUUAAUCUAUUUAAAACAGGGACAAUGAUAUACCGAAAGUCUAAAGUAAUUGAAAUGAAAACUGAAUACCAAACCCAACGACUAAGACCAUUGUUCAAGCCACAUAAGUGGAUUAAAUGGAUGGAAGGGAUCUGUCUCAAAGAAUGGCUCAAUGCUUCCAUUCUCCAUGUUAUAAAUUCCAGUAUCUUUACCUCCUGCUUCAACGUAUUCCUCGGCGGCCAGGUACCAAUAAGAGUCGACAAAAUCAUCAGUGAAAUAAAUGCAAUUGGGUUUACACUCAGAAUUACUUGAUGCGUCAACAGACAGUGAAGAAUUAAAACCCAAAAAGAGGGAUCUGUUACCCAAAUUCUGGAUCUUCGACCAUUUAUUAGUACUUAGAUCGACCUCAAAAACCUGAAACCCCAACGUUCUGAAAGUGUUCUCCUCCGUUAGGUAGCCUAGAUGAGUAGGUGGUACUUGUACUCCCCUCCUUGAAACCACAAAUAAUGUGCCAUCUUCAGACUCAACCAUAUACAAAUACUCCACAACAUCUUCAAUAAAUUCGGCAGGUAAUUCCGCGAUUCUUGUAGCAGUACUGUCAUCAUCUUUGACGGCAAAUAUUUGACCAAAAGCAUUGAUAGCAUAAAAUUGAUUUUGGAAGUAAAUAGCAUCAACAAAAUGUUUAGCAUUAUUAGACGUGUUAAUUUUUCUCCAAACUUGACCGCCUGGCCUAGCGCAGCCCAAAUUCCCGUCUCUUCCGUAAAGAAGCAUGGCUUGUAAUGAAUCGGGGUUGGACGAAGAUAAUACGCAUUUGGUUAAUAUGAAAGUAAUAAAGCAACCCUCUUCACAAUGCCGAUUAUGCUCAUACGGAUCAGAAGCUACCAAGGUUUCGAUGGAAGGCAGUUUAAGUUGAAGGCGUGAAAAAGGAUGCACAAGAGUCAUAUAAUUGGGACUGAUGCAUGAAUCGAUAAAUUUAAUAAGCCAACCCCGUGAAGAAAAGUACCUACCGUUUUCAUACUUUUCAGGGUAAGGAUCUUCAGGUCAAUUUACUCGGAGGAGGCUGCUACUGCUGCCCUUCGAAAGAUCCAAGAAACUAAUGGAACCGUUUUUGGGUGGCAGCAUAAGCAGAGGAUUGCACUCGAUAUGUUUAUCUGAAACUGCAGCCGAUGCCGAUGCAGAUUUCCAGCGCCGCUUGGAGUUGGAGAAACGAAUUGAAUAUUUUUUCGGAGGAAGCGUACGCCAAGGAACUGUGGCCGAUCUGUCUAAAGUGCGAACCCCGGCAAAAGAAACAAAAUCCUGAAGCAAUUUUGCGGACGAGUAGGCCAUUGUUUUAGUAGGCUGUUCUUCUCUUCACGAUGGCAAAUUAGAGCAAAUCUCUGUGGCAUUUAUAUUUGAUUUAGUCUCACCCUCUCAUAAUUGGAGAAGGAAAGCGGUUUUCCUUUUGCAGUCGGACUAUGAAUCUCACGUAUUUCUAGAAACAUUCAACGGCCAAGAUCUCAGUCUUUGGAAUGGACGACUCUUUCGAUUGCCUUGAAAGACUUGCUUGGCUAUUUUUUAAGUCCUUUCAGUUUUCACGUGACUUGCCAGAAAGUGCAAAACUAUUUUUCAUUUUAUUUAUUUUUUUCUUUUCUAAACAAGCUUUUAAUUAUUUAUUUAAUUUUUAUUUCAAGGAAAAAAAAAACACUAAUCACUUACUAAAUUUGCCAUGCUAAGACCCCGAUUGUGGCCAAAAUUUAAUAAAAUGUUUAUUUCAUAAUUUUUGAUAAAAAUUAUAAAAUUUAUUUAUUUUAUAAUUUUUUUUAUUUUAAUAACAAUUUUUAAAAAUAAGUAGAGGAUUGUUUUUCAUAAACAACUUAUUCAAUAAGUCACUAUUCUUUUGAAAAUUUUCUGUUAUAACCUUAAUAUUUUAACAAAAAGAUAACUAUGUCCUAUUUUUUCAUAUACCUAAUGUAUAAGUCAUUAGAUAUCAUAUUACAAGCAUAAUCAAAUUACCCUUACAAUUUUAAAGUUUUGAUCCGGUAAAUUUAUAUUUUUCAUAUUUUACUUUUAUCUUCUAUUAUAAAAUUUAAUAAGACUUACAUAUGAUUACGUAAAUUUUCUUUAAACUAUGAACAAUUUUGCAUGGAAUUUAACCACAACUUUUAAAAUCAAUUUCAUAACUAUUGAUUUUUAACAUUCAAUCAUAUAUAUUUUUUCUACAUACAAAGUGUUUAUUGCAAUAAGUUAAAUAUGAAUGUAAUACAUAUUACUUUUUUAUUUUAUUUGGAUUAUGUCUUGAUAUGAAUUUUUAUCAUAUUUUAUGUAACAUAUUAUGAAGUUCCUUAAAUUUUAUAUAAUUGAUUUUUUUUUCACUUUAUGUAACUUUAUGUAUUUUAAAAAGAAAAAGAAAUGUCUAAAAAUUAUUAAAUAUACUCUAAAAAAUAAAAAUAAUUUAAAAUUACGUUUAUUUUGGUCAUUACCUAAUAAAAUAAUAUUUUAAAAAUUUGCUACCCGUACAUUACUCAAUAACAAUAUAAUUUACCAAACACUAAAUUAUUUUUUUAUUCAACAACUUAUUUUAUCUGCACAACAAAUGCAACUUAUUUGGUUAGCCGCUGCAAUCCCGAACCGGCACUAACUUGGGCUAAAAUGCAAAACGAAAGCUAUGAUCCGUUGAGACCCACGACUUACUUAGAAAGCAAUGUCCUCUUUCAUCGUUAGGAAUCUAACGUGGAGAAAGGAAGUGACUUCCUAAUCAAACUUGAGAUGUUCCAUUUAUUGCAUUCAGACUCGCAGUUGCCUACAGAUACCUGAUGUUUCAUGUGACUUCUCUUAAAAAUUAAGAUAGUUUAUUUAUUUGUCUAAAAGUUACGAUAAUUUUUUUUUCCUCGAAUUCAUGCUCGAACAAAGAAAUCAAAAGAUGAUCAAUGAAAAACAACAUAUACAACAAGUAAGUUAAGUAUAUUUUGAGGAUUUACGUACGUAUAAGGAUUUACAAAAACAUAAUAAAAAUAUUUUGUUAUAGAGAUUUAUAGUAAAUAUUAUGGUUCCAUCUAAUACCUAAUUAUUUAUUUAAAAUCUUUAUAAUAAAUACAAAAUAUUAUUAAAAUAAAUGUAAUAAUUUACACAUUUAAAUUGUUUUAGAUAUUAAAAACAUAUUAAUAUUAUUAGUUUACUAGAAAGAUUAUAUUAUUUAUAUUGAGUUUAUAUUUAUUAAGAAAAUUUAAAGUCUAUUUUUUAAUUACUCUAUCAAAAGAGUAUUAUAGUUAAAAGGAAGUCUUAACAUCAUUUUAAAAAAAAUUAGGGUUCUCUACGACCAUUUUUUCAAAUUUUGAGGGUAUAACUGUUCUUUUCUCGCAUUCAAUUUCUAUAAUAGAACUCCUAGUGACUAUUACUAGAGUAAUAGUAAUGGCUUUAACUUUUUGAACAAUUUGCGUGGAGAGCAAGAUAAGCUAACAUAUAAUAGAAGAAAAGCCUAAAGAUGGAUAUAGGGCUCAAGAUUCCGCUUUUGACACUUAUAGCAUAUUCUAAGUCUUUGUUUGGUAUUGAGGUGCUGUAAGUUAAAAAUUACAGUUACGGUAAAAAAAAUUAACUAUGAAAUAAAAGUUAUUAGUGUAUUGUGAAUAUCAUUUUUAAAUAAAUAUUUUGAUAAAAAUUGUAAGAAAUAUGAUAGAUUUUUUUUUUAUCAUACAACUGCUAAAUAAAAGAAUUUAACUUCUAAACCACAAUUAUAGGUAUUUACUAAAUGCUUUAAUUCUGUAAUUUUUAAGAUAUAGUUGUCCCACCACACUAUUGAAUAAUGCCUAAUUCAUUUGUUAAAAAUUGUAGCAACGUUGAAGGGAGUUGUUUUGAUGUUUGUGGUGGCAGUGUUUUGUGUCAUUGCUUUUGAGUGUUUCAGCAGAAGAAACGGCACCGUUGCCAGCGCCGUCCAUGGGUAAACAAAUAUACUAUUCAAUGGGAUUUCUUGGACUAUCAUUUCACUUCUUUUUUUUCUCUUGUCAGCUAUUGCUUUCUUGAAGCAUCAAAUUGUCCAUUGUUAUACAAAUUUUAUGGUACUGUUAAAUUUAGAAAAAAUACUUUAAGGUGGUGUUUAGUUGGGAGGAGAGUAUGGAGGAGAGGAAAAUAAUUUAAAUUCUCUUUUUAUUUUCAUUGUUUGGUUUGACAAAAUUUAUAAGAAUUUAAUUUCCAUUAGAAUUUAAUAUCCAUCGUAAUAUAGAAUUUGAAUUCCUCACCUAGUAAUGAAGAAUUUAAAUUUCUCUUAUGUUAGAAAUUAAAGUUUUUAAAAUUACUCUUCAACUUUUUAACUUGUUUAAUGCUAUUAAUAAUUAUUAUUUAUAAUUUUAUUUUAUGGAUUUAAUAUUAUAAAUGGACCUUCGCCGGAAAGUCACCGGAUGUAGCCGGACUUUCGCCAAAAAGUCAUUGGACCUCCAUUGGACAUCGCUGGACCUUCACCGCUGGCAACUGGACUGCCAUUUUAUUAUAUAUAUAUAUUAUUAAUAUAAAUAGUUUAAUUUUUAAAGUAAAUGAUAAAUUUGUUUAAAAAAAAUUAUAAUUAAUUUCCUUAUCAAAUUUUAUAUCAAACCAAACAAUAAAAUCUAAUUUCACUACUUUUCUCCAUUCUGUUCUUCUCUCUUUCGCUCCAUUCAACUCUUUUUUUCUCCUCCUGUUUCUUCAAACCAAACUUAGCCUAAAUUCCUCUACUGAAUUGUCCUUAGCCCAUAGAAAUUUUCUUUUUUUCUCCCCCCUCAAGAGAUAGCCCAUAGCAAAGUCGUUCCCGUAAUUGUAUAGAAAAGAACAACAUGGGCCUCAACUCACUCCAGCCGAAUAGACAAACUUAAGAACAAAUGCAAGGAAGCCCGAAACUGUUCAAUUAACCACCUUAGAGAAGAAACUUAUGAGACAAGCUAUAGGUGCCUUGUUGAUGAAGUAAAAUGCCAGGAGCUGGGAAUUUGAACACAAACUGAUCUCUGCAGACGUUGUACAUACAGUACAAAGUACAGUCAAGGCUGAUUUAACGGUUACAUCUGGGGCUACACAAUCAUACCAUUAGAGAUCUAAUCUCAAUUAGUUGGAGAGCACAACAAUAAUGGUGAAAAUUCAUACUCUGUAAAGAAUUCAUCAAUAAAAUGAACAUCUCCAUACAUAGAUCUAUUAUUAUCUCUACUAAAAUAACUUUAACUAAUUGAGUUAAGAAAUAAAUCCAAGUCUACUCAGCCAUGGCUCUGGCUACUGAUAAUUUACUUUAUAAAAUCAUAUGCAUUAAGGAAAUCAAAAGCCCUUUUCUAGUUACUUUCAGAUAAUUCACUUUAUCAAUUCAUAUGCAUUUGAGGAAAUGAAAGCCCUUUUAUUUUUAGGCGACCAUUAAAAGUUCAGCUAAAAAAGAUGAGCUUUGUAUGUGAUCUUAUGUAUGUAUGUUGAAUGAAUCAUGACGUUAUGUCAUUGUAAUGAUGUUAUACUUCUUUAAUGAAAAACAUGCUCUCUUUUGAAAAAAUACUAUUAAAUAUUUAUGAAUCUAAUUUAUCUUUUCGCAUACCUCUUAAAAACAACUAUCCUUAAACAAAAUCAAAUCCACAUUUCUCUACUUUAACCUCUCCUUUAUGCUUUCACAAAUGACGUAACACACAAUAUGACAUAUCUUCAUGGUGGCAUGAAAUCUUUUUUAUUUUUACUUUUUAUUUUUAUUAUGUUGGUUCUUUUUCUUUUUGGUGGUACUGCGAAUGCAAAAACUAAGAGAUCAUCAGCAAUAACUAAGAGACCAUCAACUACAACAAAUCAUUUCACCAAAAAAAAAAAAAAAGAUCUCAAAUCCAAAGGUCUGAAACGUAUUAUUUGAUUGACAAAAUUUGAAUUAGACUUUUUAAAUUUAAAACUAGCUAUUGAUGUAAUUAUUUUUAUUACUAUUCUUUUAUUCAUAGGUGAUAUAUAUAUUGUGAAUUGUGAUAAUUGAAAUAUAAAGGUGAAUGAAAGAGCAUCUAUGUACUUUUAAUUAUUUUUUUAUUUUUUAAAAAAUAAUUCACUAUUAAAAAAAAAACAAAGAUUAUUAGGGUAUAAUGUUGUAAAGUAAAAUGUGGGUACUAACUGAAUAACUACAUUCUUCUAUUUUGACUGAUUUUCGGACUAUAUUAAAAAUAGAAUCAUAAAUUUUUCCAUCAUAUAAUUAAAACAAUGAGGGAAAUUGCAACAAUAUUUCGUAAUUUAAUAUUGGUGGCAAAUUGGUAAUUGAAGUUGGUGGCGUUAAUAACAAUAAAAAUAAUGAGGCUAUCAAGAGGGUUAAUGGAGAUGAGAUCAAUAAUAUUAAAACAAAUGAGGGAUAUUUGCUAGGCUCCCAAUUAAUUAGUUAUUUUUCAUUUCAUUUUUUCAUUAUUAAAAAAAGAUUUGUUCUUUAAUGUAUGUAAUUACAAUCAAUUAAAAAUUGUAAGUAGAACUUUUAUAUUUGAAAAGUAUUUAAUUAUCAGGCUUAAAUAAAUUAAACAAUUAAAAUUUAUUCAUCAUUUUAAAAUUUAAAAAUAUUAUUAGUCAAAAUUUUAAAUAAUAAACUAAAUUCAACCCAACAAAAAAGUAUUUAGGUGCCGUUAUUUGUUUGCCAGAGGCACUUUGACUCUCUUUGAAAAACUAGAUGUUGAUGAUUCUUCUAUUAAAAAAACUAUUCAAAAUACUCAAAUUUUAUUUUCUAACUUGUCCUCUUAGUUAACGUAUCUAAUAAUAAAAUAUCAAAAUUUACAUAAAAAAUUUAUGAAAAUGUUGAUAAUUGUUACUAUAUGUUUUUUUCAAGUUAUUUUGAUACUAGUAACGAUGCUAUAUUAUAUUAACAUACUUUCUUUUCAAUUAGAAUUUUUUAAAAAUAGAUUAAAGCAGUAAUAACCUUUUAGACCCCUAGCGUUUUCAAUCCAUUCAAUAAAUAUAUAAUUUAAUCAUUUUAUAAAAUGAGUCACCAAUUUCAAUUGGAAAAAUAAUAUAAUUGAGUUAGGGACAUAUUUGAAAAUAAAAUAAAAGUUCUAUUGUUAUAUGAAAUUGAUAAAACAGAAGGGUAACUAAGUUAGGGAUAUUUUCUCAAAAAAAAAAAGUUAGGGACAUAUAUGAAAAUAAAAUAGAAAUUCUAUUUCUUUCCAUAAAUAAAAUUAAUCAAAAUUAUAUUAUUUAAAUAAUUUUUUCUGGACUAGCGUCCAGGUGUAGGUCCGCCACUGAGCUGCACUAUGCUGUUCUCGUGCAUAAACUACGGAUUGUAUUUAAUAGUAAGUUAACGUAAAUUGUGGAGAUUGAAUACUUUCAAUAUUUGAAUCCUCUGCGAUUCUUCUCCAUUAUUUUGAGUGAUAUUUGGACAAUACUGAUUGCAGAAUCUGCUGUACCGUACAUCCGCCUUGGCCGUACAGCAGUAUUAUUUUCCUAUAUAAGUACCCAAAUCCAACGAACAAACUGUCACUUAAAAGUCCAAGAACUCAACAACCUCUCUACUCUCUAUAAGUUGCCCAUCAAAUUUUCUUCCGGAACCCAACUUAAUAUUUUAUCGUUUAUAAUCAUUAAAAGAAGUAUUUGGGGGUGAGGAGAGUAUAGUAAGAGACAUGAGCAGCAACGGUGGCAGAGUUUGCAAGUUUGAUUCAGCAUUCAUCAAGUAUGUGCUGCAAGAAUCUUGUGGCUAUAAUAAGGGCAACAAUAAUUCUAUUGCAAGGAGUCUUGCUGGUGGCGUUAGUUAUUUCUCUAUAUAAGUACUCCAAUCCAACGAACAAAGUGUCACUUAAAAGUCCAAGAACUCAACAACCUCUCUACUCUAUAAGUUGCCGAUCAAUUUUCCUUCCAGCACCCAACUGAAUAUUUUAUCGUUUAUAAUCAUUAAAACAAGUAUUUGGGGUGAGGACAGUGUAGUAAGAGACAUGAGCAGCUACGGUGGCAGAGUUUGCAAGUUUGAUUCAGCAUUCACCAAGUAUGUGCUGCAAGAAUCUUGUGGCUAUAAUAAGGGCAACAAUAAUUCUAUUGUAACGAGUCUUGCUGGUGGCGUUAAUAAUAUUAAUAACAACAAUCAGGGUAUCAAGAGGGUUAAUGGAGACCAGAUCAAGAAAAAGAGGAGGCAACAAGAGAAGGCUGAGAUGCUCUUCCACCUAAUUUGCUGGGGACCCAAUUAAUUUAUUAUUUGUAUUUCUUCUUUUUCUUCAUUAUUUUUAAAAACAAAUCAUAUGGGAGAGAAAGAGAUGUAUUGGUUUAUCUUUAUUGUAGGAAUCUUGGUGCUUAUGGAAAUAAAUCAUAUGCUUUCAAUUUAUUGGCUUUCAAUUUCAAAUAAUUUUUAUUUGAACAUAAAAAUUAGCUCAGAUAUUUAGGCAUAAACAUCCUUCCAGAAUUUUCUAUCAGAAAUAAUUUAGAAUUUCAACUCAAUUUAGAUAUAUUAAAAUGUUGAUGUAUAAUACAUAAUUUGAUGGGUAUUUUAGUAAUUUGAAUAAAUUUAUCAUAGAAGAUUAAGAAAAUAAAAUAAAAUCAAACAGUGGAUUUACUAUGCGUAAAAGUAUAAGACACAUGUACUAUUCAUAUAAGGGGAGUGUAUCUUACAUGCAUGUAAGAUAGAGAUUGCCAAAAUAUAAUUGUGGGUUAUAUGUUUAGAUUUCUACAACCCCGAAGGCAUGAUAAGAAAAUAAAAUAGUAAACGAUAAGAACAAUGAAAUUGUAAAAUUUCAUGUAUUAAAAUUAUCUAAAUUAAUUAAACAAUCAUCCUCCGAAUUGGGAGAUGGUCAUGGCACAGUCAUUGUCCAGACAAAAGAAACUCGGUAAAGCGAAUUUCAGGCAAAAUAUCAAUAUUAUUUUUCUAUUUAUAAUAAUUUAUAAUUAGAUAUAACUACAUAUUAUUUCUUAUUUAAUAAUUACCCAAUAAAAGUCUUCUUUAGAAUUGAGAUGCGAUAACCUUUAAGUUACAAUUACUGUGGGAAAAAUAUCUAUAAUUAUAAAAUAAUAAUUUUGAUAAAAUUAUUAAAGGUAUAAUAAAUUUUUCAUUAUAGAAGUGAAAAGUUAUAUUAAUAUACCUUUCAAACUAUUAGCACCCAACUUUUACUAAUCCCAAAUAGAACCAUAAUAUUGUUAAAAAAUAAUUUUUUAGGAGUAAUGAGACAUCUAUGUCUCUUAACAUCAUUUAAAAAAAAAAAUUAGGGUUUUCUAAGACCAUUUUUCAAAUUUUAAGGGUAUAACUGUUCUUUUCUCACAUUCAAAUUCUAUAAUCGAACUCCUAGUGACCAUUACGAGAGUAAUAGUAAUGGCUUUAACUUUUUGAACAAUUUGCGUGGAGAGCAAGAUAAGCUAACAUAUAAUAGAAGAAAAGCCUAAAGAUGGAUAUAGGGCUAAAUAUUCCGCUUUUGACACUAAAAGCGUAUUCUAAGUCUUUAUUUGGUAUUGAGGUGCUGUAAGUUAAAAAUUACAGUUACGGUAAAAAAAGCUGUAACUAUGAAAUAAAAGUUAUUAGUGUAUUGUGAAUAUCAUUUUUAAAUAAAUAUUUUGAUAAAAAUUGUAAGAAAUAUGAUAGAUAUUUUUUUUUUAUCAUACAAGUGCUAAAUAAAAGAAUUGAACUUCUAAACCACAGUUAUAGGUAUUUACUAAAUGCUUUAAUUAUGUAAUUUUUAAGAUAUAGUUGUCCAACCACACUAUUGAACAAUGCCUAAUUUUUACUAAAUGCCUAAUUUUUAUAUCAAACCAAACAACAAAAUCUAAUUUCACUACUUUUUUCCAUUCCGUUUUUCUCCUCUAUUUUUUUCAAACCAAACAUAGCCUAAAUUCCUCUACUGAAUUGUCCUUAGCCCAUAGAAAUUUUCUUUUUUUCUCCCCCCUCAAGAGAUAGCCCAUAGCAAAGUCGUUUGCAUAAUUGUAUAGAAAAGAACAACAUGGGCCUCAACUCACUCCAGCGGAAUAGACAAACUUAAGAACAAAUGCAAGGAAGCCCGAAACUGUUCAAUUAACCACCUUAGAGAAGAAACUUAUGAGACAAGCUAUAGGUGCCUUGUUGAUGAAGUAAAAUGCCAGGAGCUGGGAAUUUGAACACAAACUGAUCUCUGCAGACGUUGUACAUACAGUACAAAGUACAGUCAAGGCUGAUUUAACGGUUACAUCUGGGGCUACACAAUCAUACCAUUAGAGAUCUACUCUCAAUUAGUUGGAGAGCACAACAAUAAUGGUGAAAAUUCAUACUCUGUAAAGAAUUCAUCAAUAAAAUGAACAUCUCCAUACAUAGAUCUAUUAUUAUCUCUACUAAAAUAACUUUAACUAAUUGAGUUAAGAAAUAAAUCCAAGUCUACUCAGCCAUGGCUCUGGCUACUGAUAAUUUACUUUAUAAAAUCAUAUGCAUUAAGGAAAUCAAAAGCCCUUUUCUAGUUACUUUCAGAUAAUUCACUUUAUCAAUUCAUAUGCAUUGAGGAAAUCAAAGCCCUUUUAUUUUUAGGCGACCAUUAAAAGCUCAGCUAAAAAAGAUGAGCUUUGUAUGUGAUCUUAUGUAUGUAUGUUGAAUGAAUCAUGACGUUAUGUCAUUGUAAUGCUGUUAUACUUCUUUAAUGAAAAACAUGCUCUAUUUUAAAAAAAUACUAUUAAAUAUUUAUGAAUCUAAUUUAUCUUUUCGCAUACCUCUUAAAAACAACUAUCCUUAAACAAAAUCAAAUCCACAUUUCUCUACUUUAACCUCUCCUUUAUGCUUUCACAAAUGACGUAACACACAAUAUGACAUAUAUUCAUGGUGGCGUGAAAUCUUUUUAUUUUUACUUUUUAUUUUUAUUAUGUUGGUUCUUUUUCUUUUUGCUGGUACUGCGAAUGCAAAAACUAAGAGAUCAUCCGCAAUAACUAAGAGACCAUCAACUACAACAAAUCAUUUCACCAAAAAAAAAAAAAAAGAUCUCAAAUCCAAAGGUCUGAAACGUAUUAUUUGAUUGACAAAAUUUGAAAUAGACUUUUUAAAUUUAAAACUAGCUAUUGAUGUAAUUAUUUUUAUUACUAUUCUUUUAUGGCUGAAACUACAAUGCGUCGUGGGUUUGGUGCCACAGUCGUUUGUCAGUUAGCAAAGUGAGCGUUGGAUUUAAUCCCACGGCUGCAGAAGAGAGGCAGACAUAAAGGGCAGUUACCUCAGGAAAAGGUAAGAGCCGGUCAGCUGGAGAAAAGAUGGGUUUAAUAAGAAAUAGCAUCCAUGUGUAAUGAACAUGUAGUUUUUUAGGAAGGCUGUUGUAACCAAAGAUUAUAGUGGUUCGGCAAAUUUCUUUGCCUACAUCCACUGUGGAAAACAAAGCAAACUCUUUACUGAUUUCAGAGAACAAGUUACAAAUCUGGAGAAUACAUGUAAAUGAAUCGAUACCCUAAACAACAGAUCAUAUGCCCUUUUAUACUCCACUCGGAUCAAUCAGAAAGAACCUGAAGAAGCCAGUUCACGCUCAUGGGUUUCCAGCCAAACAGACCUCCAGCUGCUUCCCGCGUGAUCUAACGGAAAAAACCACUUCUGGAAUUUGCUUAGGGACACUUGUCAAACGUUCAUGUAAUCUGUUGAUUAAAACGCAGAGUUGGCUUGCCGUUUGAGUUAGUGAAACAUGUGACGCAUCACGUGCAUUACUAAUGAAUCCAGCCGACAUAUCGUUUGUAUCAACCAGCUGCUCUGAACUCAAAUGCUUGACAUGUCGUUUAUCCUCGCUGACAAACAGACGACGUGUCAUACACAUCCCUGAGAUCAGAUUUGAGCUUCAUAAUUCCAACACUCUCCACCUUGAACUCAAAUCAGUUACCCUUUUGCUUAUGCUUUCCACUGUAUCCCUGCAGUUUUAUAGCCUGUAGAUCCCAGCUGAGUUCAUGCAGAACUCCAGCUUGGCUGCUGGUACAGCCUUUGUCAACAUAUCAGCAAGGUUAUCAUCAGUAUGAAUCUUUAACAGCUUCACCACACCUUUAGACACCUCCAGCCUGACAAAGUGCAGUUUGAUGUCAAUAUGCUUUGUCUUUUCGUGAUGCACCUGGUUCUUGCUUAGACAAAUUGCACUUUGACUGUCACAAUGAACAGCCACCUGUCUUUGUUCAAAUCCUAAUUCCGUAACCAUUCCUUUGAGCCAUAUUGCCUUCUUAAAGGCUUCUGCAGUUGCAGUGUACUCUGAUUCUGUUGUUGACAAAGCAGCAACACUUUGCAGUGAAGCUUUCCAGUUUAUGGUGCAGCCACUGAGUGUGAACAAAUAGCCUGUUAGAGAUCUCCUUUUAUCUAGAUCCCCUGCAUAGUCAGCAUCCACAUACCCUUCAACAUCAACUUCUGUACCUCCUUUUAAACCAUAGAUGAGGCUAUAAUCUGCAGUCCCACUGAGAUAUCUUAAGAUCCAUUUUACAGCUCUCCAGUGCUCCUUUCCAGGAUUACCCAUAUACCUGGAAACUACACUUACUGCAUGAGAGAUAUCUGGCCUUGUUAGGACCAUGGCAUACAUUAAGCAUCCCACAGCACUUGAGUAUGGAGUUGUGCUCAUCUCAGCUUUUUCAUCUUCAGUUCUUGGACACUGAUUACAUGACAACCUGAAAUGAGCUGACAGUGGAGUUUGAACUGGUUUUGAGUUCACCAUUUCAAAUCUCUCAAGUACUUUCUUUAUAUAGCAGUGCUGUGAUAGCUUUAGUAUUCCCUUCUUACUAUCUCUUAGCAAUUCUACUCCAAGGAUCUUCUUGGCUGCUCCAAGAUCCUUAAUCUCAAAUGCAUUCUUUAACUGCUUCUUCAGCACAUCUAUAUGAUCCAUAUGUUUACAUGCUAUAAGCAUGUCAUCAACAUAUAGCAAUAGAUAGAUCUUAUCUCCAUCUAUCAAGUUUUUGUGGUACACACAGCAAUCAUAAGAGCACCUUUGAAAGCUGUUCUCAGCCAUAAAUUUAUCAAAUCUCAAGUACCAUUGUCUCGGGGAUUGCUUUAAUCCAUAUAGAGACUUUCUCAAAUGACACACAUAAUCAGCCUUAUCUGAAUCCUCAUAACCUCUUGGUUGUGCCAUUACAAUCAUUUCUUCCAAUUCACCAUGAAGGAAUGCAGUCUUGACAUCCAUAUGUUCCAGGUGCAUGUCAUUUACUGCAACAAGUGCUGCUGUACCGUACAUCCGCCUUGGCCGUACAGCAGUCUAAAGAGGGUGUUGAUUAAAUUAAAAAAAAAACCCUUAACAUAACAAAUCUUAAAUAUUUAGUGUUUAAAGAGCUUGAAGAAGCCAAAAAGCACUAAACAAAAGGUUGCAUAAUUAAAUAUGAGAUUAUGGUAUUAAAAUUAGGCUCUAGUAGCAUUGUUGAGGGAAGAUGAAAGAAUCUCUCUUCCUAUGUUAAUUCUGGUAUGCAUUCUUUUAUCUUAUAGAUCCACUUGCAGCCAACUAUUUUCUUCUUUGCUGGUUUUGGAAUCAGAUCCCAUGUGUGGUUCUUGAUCAAUGAUCUCAUUUCUUCAUCCAUAGCUGCAACCCACUUCUUUGAGUCCUUACUACUGACAGCCUCAGUGUAAGUCUUUGGUUCAUCUUCUUCUAUUCCUUGUGCUGCUGAUAGUGCAAAUGCAAUCAAGUCUGCAUAUGCAUACCUCUUAGGUGGCUUUGACUCUCUUUUCUUUCUAUCUCUCACCAGCUGAUAAUUUCUGAGGUUAUCAUCACCUUCUGAUUCACCUUCUUGUUCAGACAAAUCUAUUCCAGGUGCAUUCUCAGGCCCUGACUUUUUAUCAGCUUCUGUGCUGGAGCUUGGAAGCUCCACCUCAAGAAAAUUCUUCUUGUCACAACCUGACUCUCUCUCAAUGGUUUGAUUCUCAGUAGCUGAGUUUUGAAACAUUUCAUGUUCAUUAAACACCACAUCCCUGCUGAUUAUUGCCCUUGGUGGCUUCAUAUCUGUACACCACAGCUUGUAGCCCUUCACACCAGCAGGAUAUCCUAAGAACACACAUUUGAAGGCCCUGGGCUCUAGCUUCCCUUGUUUGACAUGAGCAUAGGCUGAGCAGCCAAAUAUUCUCAAAUGAGAAUAGUCUGCUGGUUUGCCAGACCAGAGCUCAUAUGGAGUUCUGAAAUUGAUUCCAGAAGAGGAACUCCUGUUUACUAUGUAGCAAGCAAUCUCUAAAGCUUCAGCCCACAGGCUCAUGGGUAGCUUAGAGUGGAUCAGCAUACACCUAACUUUGUCUAUUAGAGUUCUAUUCAUUCUUUCAGCUAAUCCAUUUUGCUAUGGUGUUUGUCUUACUGUUUUGUGUCUAACCAUACCAUGUUUUGUACAUAAAUCAUCAAAGUCCUUAUUACAGAACUCUAACCCAUUAUCUGUCCUCAGCCUUUUUACCUUCCUAUUUUUCUGUGUUUCAACUAAUGUUUUCCAGUUCUUAAACUGUUCAAACACUUUAUCUUUGCUCUUCAAACUAAAUACCCAAACCAUUCUUAAGAGAUCAUCAAUAAGAGAUAAGAAAUACCUAGCCCCACCUAGAGAAGCUGUCUGUGCAGGCCCCCACAGAUCAGCAUGAAUGUAGUCUAGAGUCCCCUUUGAAUUAUGGAUACCAGUACUGAAUUUCACUCUUGAAGAUUUUCCUAGGACACAAUCUUCACAGAACUUCAAAGGCUCUAUCUUAUCUACUCCUAAGACUCCCUGUUUUGAUAGCUCAAUUAAGCCCAUUUCACUCAUGUGGCCUAACCUCAUAUGCCACAGCAUGGUUUUGUUUAGUUUCUGGUUUGACACAGCAACAUCCCCUGUGACAGCUGAUCCCUGUAACACAUACAGACCAUUGCUCAUAUUCCCUUUCAUCACAACCAUUGACCAUUUCAAGACCUUUAAAGUGCCUGACUCAAGUUUGACUAGACAUCCUGUUUUAUCUAGCAUGCCUAGGGAGAUAAGAUUUCUUUUGAGAUCAGGCACAUGUCUGACAUCCCUUAGUUUGUUUAGUUUCUGGUUUGACACAGCAACAUCCCCUGUGACAGCUGAUCCCUGUAACACAUACAGACCAUUGCUCAUAUUCCCUUUCAUCACAACCAUUGACCAUUUCAAGACCUUUAAAGUGCCUGACUCAAGUUUGACUAGGCAUCCUGUUUUAUCUAGCAUGCCUAGGGAGAUAAGAUUUCUUUUGAGAUCAGGCACAUGUCUGACAUCCCUUAGUUUCCUAAUCAUGCCAUCGAACACUCUUAACCUAAUAGAACCUCUGCCAACCACUCUGCAGCUUGAAUCAUUACCCAUUACAACUAUCCCACCAUCACAAGUCUCAUAGUUUGUGAAUAAAAUUUUAUUAGGGCACAUGUGGAAGGAACAACCAGAAUCUAAAACCCAAUUACCUUUUGUUUGAGCAUCAGUUGCUAUUAGAACUCCAGCUGAGUCAUAGCCAUCAGAUUCUUCAAAUUCUGAUGCAACAGCAGCAUCUAUAUUCUUCUCAUUUGCAUUAUUUUUCUUGUUUUUAAAUUCAGGGCAAUCUUUCUUGAAAUGGCCCUCCUUAUGACAGUGAAAGCAUUUCAAGUUCUUUUGCCUGGAUUUUGAUCUCUUCUUCUUGUUCUUACUUAUCUCUCUCUUUUCAGUUCUUCCUCUUGCUGUCAGACCUUCUCCAUCCCUGGUUUCUUUCUUGAUUGCUGCCUUGGAACUCAGAGUUUCCUUUACAUCUCCCAUAGCGAGAGUCUGUCUCCCAUACAUUAAUGUAUCCACUAGAUUCUCAUAGGAACUCGGCAGAGAGCAGAGCAGGAUCAUGGCUUUGUCUUCAUCAUCAAUCUUCACAUUUAUGUCUUCAAGAUCCAAGAUGAUCUUGUUGAAGGCAUCAAUGUGAUCAGUAAUUGAUGAUCCUUCUUCCAUCUGCAAGGUAUAAAGNNNNNNNNNNNNNNNNNNNNNNNNNNNNNNNNNNNNNNNNNNNNNNNNNNNNNNNNNNNNNNNNNNNNNNNNNNNNNNNNNNNNNNNNNNNNNNNNNNNNNNNNNNNNNNNNNNNNNNNNNNNNNNNNNNNNNNNNNNNNNNNNNNNNNNNNNNNNNNNNNNNNNNNNNNNNNNNNNNNNNNNNNNNNNNNNNNNNNNNNNNNNNNNNNNNNNNNNNNNNNNNNNNNNNNNNNNNNNNNNNNNNNNNNNNNNNNNNNNNNNNNNNNNNNNNNNNNNNNNNNNNNNNNNNNNNNNNNAAAAAGCCAAAUCAAAGAAAAUUUAAUCCUGCUGUACCGUACAUCCGCCUUGGCCGUACAGCAGAAUUUGUUGUAACCAAAUUAAUCACCAAGACCAACUUGGAACCCCCAAGACCCACUCUAUGAACCUUGAUCUUGUACUGGAAAUAAUCAAUCAACUAAGAUUUCCCAAGAAAUAUGAAUAAGUACUUGAAACCAUCCACACAAUCAAAGAAAAUCAGAUCACACACUUGAACCAAAGAUUAUAGUGGUUCGGCAAAUUUCUUUGCCUACAUCCACUGUGGAAAACAAAGCAAACUCUUUACUGAUUUCAGAGAACAAGUUACAAAUCUGGAGAAUACAUGUAAAUGAAUCGAUACCCUAAACAACAGAUCAUAUGCCCUUUUAUACUCCACUCGGAUCAAUCAGAAAGAACCUGAAGAAGCCAGUUCACGCUCAUAAGACACAUGUAAUGAACGGCAGCAAACAGCAAAAUACAGAAACAACAAAAAGUAUAUGCACGUAAUGGUUGGAAACAACUUGGUGGAGGCAUGCAAGUAUUUGUUAUACUAAGACAGAGAGGAAAAAUCUGAUGCAGCAUCCAGAAUUUUUGCAAAUAGUGAAUUGAAAUCGUCAACAAAUGGUGGAAAAAGAACAGUAAAUUUUUAUUUUAUUAUUAACAACACAUAAUUUAUCCUUAAUUUAAAUAAAAGGAUAAAUUAUUAAUUGUACAUAAUAUCCUAAUAUUUGGAAAAAAAUUGUUAACAAUUCAUAAUUUGAAGAAGUAUGCAUAUUAUACCAUAAGAAAAAAAUGUUGGAGUUUGGACGAUGAUAUCUAAAAAAAUGAAGGUUGAAUUUUGGAGGAGGUGACGAAGAGAUGGAACAACAUUAUUUAUUGUUUAUUUAGUCAUGGAAUAACAACAUUGCUUGACAUAGAUGAUGUCGUAGUGUAAUAAAAGGGACGACAUGUCAAUAUUUAUCGGACGACAUGACAUUAUUGACCAGGUAAAUGGGAUGACAAGUAUAUUUUUUUAUUAAAGCUUCUUCUAUCUUAGAAGAGUAGAUUAUUGUAAUGAUGUCAACACUUGGAAACGCCAGCUAACCGAUUAGUGGAUAGCAGACACAUAUUGUAAACUUAGGGUAUACAAGUGAUACAUGCAAAAAAUAAUGUAGUGUACGUGAUAUAAGUGUCAUUUAAGGGUAGAUGAGUGAAACAUUUUGAUUGUGAUAUAAGUUGCAAAAAGUUAACACAGUAAGUGCGAAAUAAAAAGAAAAAAAAUUAAGUAAUUUCAAAACGUCCCCAUGUCUUCAAAAACUGUCUUAUUUUGAAUGUUAAUUUAUUUAUUAAAAAAAUAAGAGUCUUUUAGGCACAUAAAUUAUAAUAAAUUAUUGAACAAAGAAUAAUGAAAAAAAAAGUAAAAUGUAAUUAUAAUGCAGUGUUAGGGGUUGGUUAAUGAAGUUAAAGAUGGUGGAAAAGGGUUAUAUAGAAGUAAAAUGUAAUUAUAAUGCAGUGUUUGGUAUGAAUAAGUAAAUGAAUAAUAAUGCAAAUUGGGUAUACGAACUUAUAAUGUGAUAAUAAUGGUAUGUCCGUAAAAAGACCCGUAGGGCAAGAUUAAAGGCUAAAUUGUGCAGUUAUGUUAAUAAUUUUAUUUUGUAAUAAAAUAGGAGGGGCUGCAAUGUUAGUAGGCAAAAAUCAAGUACAAGUUGCGGUUGUAAUAGGUUUUGUAAGUCUUGUGUUGAAUCUAAUGGUUGGAUAAAAAAGAGAAAAUAAUGGCGUAUGAAAUCAGAAUUGCAUGGUAAGUAUACCUCGGUUGUAGUUGGAAAACAUUUCCAUCGGAAGAGAAAAAUUGAAAAUGAGUUAUGCUGUAAAAUGUUAAUGUGCUGAAGAGUGUGCACAUGUGUAAAGCCCAAGAAUCGGUGUUUUGUUGAGGGUCCAACCUUUCCCCUGGGCAAUGCAACAACGUUGGAAUGUGUUGAAAAUUGUGGUCUUUUAACGAAAAAUGUAAUAAAAAUUUGUUCUUAUUUUUUGUUAGAGCCAGGGCGGGUUUGUUGAAAGAUGAGUUUUGACUUGAUUCGCCAGUAAAAUGAAAAAAUAUAUUUAAAAUUUGGCUUCUAUUUUUUAAAAAAUUAAAAAAAAAGUCGUCAUAUCCGCAGUAAAAUAUACUCCACCCGGCAAUAUAUUGAAAUUUAAAUUCUCACCCCAAGAAUUUUAAAUACAAAUUGAAAGAGUUGGGCUGUUGAAAGUAAAAAGAAGCACGUAAAAAAAAAUAUGAAUUAAAAUAUUGAAAUAAGACAUAAGUUCAUUAAUUUGUACAUUAAGCAAACAUAUACCAAUUCCAAACGGCAGUCGAACGUUAUUAUUAUUAUUUCUUGCUGGUGGCGUUAAUAAUAAUAAUAAUAACAAUCAGGGUAUCAAGAGGGUUAAUGGAGACCAGAUCAAGAAAAAGAGGAGGCAACAAGAGAAGGCUGAGAUGCUCUUCCACCUAAUUUGCUGGGGACCCAAUUAAUUAAUUAUUUUUAUUUCUUCUUUUUCUUCAUUAUUUAAAAAAUUAAAAAAUUAAAAAAAAGUCUUAUGGGAGAGAAAGAAAUGUAUUGGUUUAUCUUUAUUCUAGGAAUCUUGGUGCUUAAUGGAAAUAAAUCAUAUGCUUUCAAUUUAUUGGCUUUCAAUUUCAAAUAAUUUUUAUUUGAACAUAAAAAUUAGCUCAGAUAUUUAGGCAUAAACAUCCUUCCAGAAUUUUCUAUCAGAAAUAAUUUAGAAUUUCAACUCAAUUUAGAUAUAUUAAAAUGUUGAUGUAUAAUACAUAAUUUGAUGGGUAUUUUAGUAAUUUGAAUAAAUUUAUCAUAGAAGAUUAAGAAAAUAAAAUAAAAUAAACCUUAGCAAUGAGUAAGGUAAAAAGUUUUGGUUUUGAGUAUGUAAUUGUAAACAGUAGAUUUACCACACGUAAAUGUGUAAUUGUGAAUCACAUGUUCAUGUUUCAGUGAACCCUAAAGAGUAACCGAUGAGAACACUGAUAUUUAGCCCGGAAUUUCAUCUAUUAAAAUUUUUUAAAUCAAUAUUUUUGUUAAAAUUAAACAAUCAUUGUCCGGAUGGGGGAUGGUCAUCUUUCAGCCAUUGUUUAAACAAAAGAAAUUCGGUAAAUCGAAUUUCUGCCAAAUAUAAUUUUUCUAUUUAUACUAAUGUUUAAUUAGAUAUAGCUGCAUAUUAUUUCUUAUUCAAUAAUUGCUCAAUAUUAAAAAAAAAUCCCAUUUUCAUCGAGUAAUCAGACAUCUAUGUCUCUUAGAUAUGCUUAUCAAGCAUUUGAUCAACCAAUUUAUAUGAGGAGACCUAGCAAUAUAAUGCAAAUUUGUUGGCACGAGAAGAUUAAAAUCUAGAUAACAUAUGGUAAAUACAGUAUGUUGGUUCCAAUAUGCUAUUUGUGGUAAUCGUCUUUUCAAUGCUCAGUGCUAUUUUUUAGGGAGAUAUUUUUAUUGGCUGCACAUUAAUAGAAACAAGAAUAUAUAAUCAAUUGGAUUACCUUGUAAUUGAAGGCAAAUAACAAACAAAAGUAAUUCCAAUAAAUCAAAGCAUUAAGUUGUCAAUGAAGACUAAAACAUAAACAAUGUUACUCCAAUGAAGACUAAAACUUGCUGGUGAAAAUUUGAAGUAAUUGAAUUGAAAACUAAUUAAAUACCAAACCCAACGAUUACGAACAUUGUUCAACUCACAUAAGUGGAUUAAAAGCAUGGAAGGGAUUACUCUUUAAAGAACGGCUCGAUGCUUCCAUCUUCCGUGUUAUAUAUUCCAGUAUCUCUAACUCCUGCUUCAACAGAUUCCUCCUUGGUCAGGCACGAAUAGGAGUCAACAAAAUCAUCAGCGAAAUAUAUGCAGUUGGGUUUACACUGAUAAUUCCUCGAUGCAUCAACAGAUAGUGAAGAAUAAAAGCCAAGAAGAGGGAUCUAUAACUCAAGUUCUUGAUAUUCGUCCAUUUAUUAGUACUUAGAUCGACCUCAAAAACCUGAAAUCCCGAAGUUUUGAAAGUGUUCUCUUCAGUUGGGUAGCCCAGAUGAGUAGGUGGUACUUGUACUACCCUCCGUGAAACCACAGAUAAUGUACCAUCAUCAGAUUCAACCACAUACAAGUACUCCACAGCAUCUUCAAUAAAUUCGGUAGGUAAUUUCGUGACUCGUAUAACAGUUCCAUCAUUAUCUUUGAUGGCAAAUAUCCGACCAAAAGUAUUAAUAUCAUAAAAUUGAUUUUGGAUAUAAAUAACAUCAAGAGUGGCCGCACUUUACAACUCCCAAACCAUUCCAUUUACUUGGUAUUUAAGUGCCAGAUAAUAGUUGGAUAUAACAGAUUUGCUGAUCCUUAGAAAGGGCCUUUUGAGUAUUAUCUGGUAUCGGAUGUCCUUAUCUACUACAACAAAGUCCAACAUCAUGGUUCUUCCAAAGGCCUUCAAACUAAUGGUAAGUAGCUCCACUACUCCCAUCGGCAUCAAUCUUCUUCCUCCAAACCCUUUUAAUGAGGUAUUGCUGGGCUCCAUUUUCAGGUCUGCUAUUCCCAUUUCAUCCAAAGUGACUUUGAAAAGAAUCUUGACUGAACUACCCAAAUCAAUCAGGUUCUGGUAUAUUCCUUGCUCGCAACAUUAGCUUUUAUAACCAGUCCGGUCUUCAUGGGGGUGCACCACCUCCUCCUAGCCAUCUUCUAUCCACAUAAUUGGAACUUGCUUGGACUUUACCUGUUUUGCUAGUGGUACAUUGAAGAGAACAUAAUGGCUGGUCGUGACAUACUUUCAAUAAUUCUUGCGAGCCCUGUUUAAGUCCCCCUCUAAUGUUGGACCAUCCUGCAAUGACUCUGGUCAUUGGUCCUCCAGAAUGGUGCCUCCUACAUUCUCCUCGGGCACGUAUGCCUCAUCUAUCAUAGGAAACGAACCGUCAACAUCCAGAUAACUGUUUCUUUGUUAACCAUUUAGAACUCCAAAAUUCUCACCUUUUGAUCCCUUAAACUACAGUAUCCGAUCUAGACCACCAUAAACUACCAGCUAGUAGUUUUCACAAACUUAAUAUCUUCAAAAUAUCCAACCUCGGUAAACAACCAACAAUCAUGCUUCAAUAUAAAUGCUAAUCUCAGCCAAAUUCAGCCCAGUCAUAAUAAAAAGAAUUCAAAUACAAUAGUCCCAUUAGUUACACAACCAAACCCAUGAUUCGAUGAAGCAUAUCCUCGGAUUUUAAGCUAAUUCUCAGCAAAAUUCUCCGCAAAUUCACCCCUAAGCAAUAAUUCCUGAACAUAGCUACACGCACUUAACUAAAACCAUGAAGCAUCCUCAAGAACAAAAGCAUUAAUCAAUUUAACUCAAACCUAUCAUUCUCACUGUAACCAAACAUCAAUGCUACAAAUCAUCAUCAGCUGUCCAAAGCAAAAAUAAACGAAAAUCAGGAACCAUUCUAACAAAAAAAUUGGUAUUUAACCCAAAUAACUAAAAUCUUACUAAGUUAAUUGGAAUAUUGAAUGCAAAAGCAGUAAAUAAUAGUUGAAACAAAUGAACUAAAAGGGGAGAAAGCAAAGCUAAAUUUUGGAACUUAUCUAAUGAGAAAUGAAUUUACUUGGAAUUUUACCUAAAAUAUUAAUAUUCAACGAACUUAGUAGGAAUAUCUAAUAUAGAACUAGUGGAUUUAGAAGUGGAAACAAAUAAACAUAUUAGUGACAAGUAUAACUGAAAUUAAGGACAUAUAAAAUUAACUUAGAACGUCAACCUAAUGUGUUAAUAUUUAGAGUGAUGAUACAGUCACAAACUUUUAUACAAACUUAUAUUGUACAAACUAAUGUGGUAUUAAUUCAUUGGUUGAAUAAAAAUAUAAAAUAAUAUAAAUAAAUCAUGUAAACCAAGAGAUAUUUAAUUCAACCAAUGAAUUAACGCCACAUCAGUUUGUACAAAAUAAGUUUAUACAAGAGUUUGUGGCUAUAUCAUUACUCUAAUAUUUAACCAAAAGAGUUGGAACAUGAUUACGUAUAUUACUUUUUUUAACUCUCAUUUAAAUUAAAAAUAUUUUUAUAUUAAUUGUUUAUAAAUUUCCUCAUUUUUUUAUUUUAUUUUAUUUUUUUACAUUAAAAAUAAUUUUUAAAAUUAUUAAAUGAACAACCAGUAAAAUAUCAAUUAUUCAAGUUGUAAAAGUAGGCUAUAUGUGAUACAACAAUGCACUCUACAAUGACUUAUAUAGUCAUUACUACACUUGGUGUCACCAGCCAUUUGCCAUUUGUCAUUUGUCACUGGUCACCAUCACCCUUUGAGUUAUUUUUUGGAGAAAAAAAAAAGCGUCCCUCCAUAAACCUACAAUCUAAAUUAGUAAUGAUUUCACUUUCCCAAAAAACAAAUACAACCUCAUUUUUUUUUUUAAAUUAGAAAAAUUAUCUUUGUAUCACUUCUCUUUAAUUAUAUGUAUAUCCAACCACUACAAAAGUUUGAUAUAUUCUCUGCACCACUUUCAUAUUUAAACUUGUAUCAAUCAAUUAAUUCGACACUAGUAAAGUUAGAAUCCCUUAAAUAAUUUAAAUAAAAUGAUUUCUUUACAUGUAAAUAAAUUUAAAGUCUAUUUUAUCCUACAAAAUUUGGAAAAAUAAAAAAUAUAAUUAGAAGAAUACCCUAAAUAUAAUAAAACAAAUAAAUCUUUAAAUCCAAGAUGUUCAUUUUCGUAAUUAUAAUUUUUAAAUGAUAAUUUUCAGUAUAAUUUAAAAAUUAUAGUUACAAAAUUAACAUCUUGGAUUUUGAGAUUUAUUUGUUUUAUUAAAUUUAAGGAUAUUCUUGUAAUUAUAUUUUUUAUUUUUCAAAAUUUUUUAGGAUAAAAUAAUUUUUUUUAUUCAUUUCGGAGCAAACGGUCAUCUUAUUUAAAGUAUUUAAUGGAUUCUAAAUUUGUUAAUGUAAAAGUGAUUGAUUGAUAUAAGUUUAGAAAUAAAGGUGGUGUAAAAAAAUAUGUCAAAACUUUAUAAUGGUUAAAUGUACAUGUAAUAAAAGAAAAGAUGCUGAGAUAAUUUUCCAAAAAAUUAAUUCGACCUUUUUAACAGCUCUCUAUUAUUUCUCUAUAUAAGUACCCAAACCCAACGAACAAAGCGUCACUUAAAGUCUCAAGAGCUCAACAAUCUCUCUGCUCUAUAAGUUGCUGAUCAAUUUUCUUCCAGAACCCAACUUAAUAUAUAUAUUUUUUGGCAUCAUUAAAAAAGAGUACUUGGGGUGAGGAGAGUGCAGUAAGAGACAUGAGCAGCAACGGUGGCAGAGUUUGCAAGUUUGAUUUAGCAUUCAACAAGCUUAUGCUGCGACAAUAUUGUGGCUGCAAUAAGGGCAACAAUAAUUCUAUUGUAAGGAGUCUUGGCGGUGGCGAUAAUAAUAAUAAUAAUAACAAUGAGGCUAUCAAGGGGGUUAAUGGAGACGAGAUCAUGAAGAAAAAGAGGAGGCAAGAAGAAAAGGCUGAGACUGUCUUCCACCUAAUUUGCUGGGGACCCAAGUAAUUAAUUAUUUUUAUUUCUUCUUUUCUUCGUUAUUUAGAAAAAAAAAUCAUAUGGGAGACAAAGAGAUGUAUUGAUUUAUUUUUAUUUUAGGAAUUUUGGUGCUUAUGGAAAUAAAUCAUAUACUUUCAAUUUAUUUGCUUUCAAUUUCAAAUGAGCUC